rnacentral:lncRNA from 1 species
UCUCACUCACUCUCUUUCUCUCUCUUUCUAACCCUGAAAUAGAGGAAGCAGAAACAGCAGAGGAGUUUAAUGUCUACCACCCACCGCCUCUGAACUCUCUCUCUCUCUCUCUUUCUCUCUAUCUGAGAGACUGGACCUUGUUGUCUCUCUAACUUUCUCUGCUCAGAGGGCUCAGACCCCCUUUGUUUUCUCUCAUUUUCUCUCUCUGUUUGCUUGGGGAAAGACCCAAAAGAGGCAACGGGGGGGAACCUUUUGUGCGGGACGCUUUAUGUAAUUCGUUUUCUUCAGUCUUCGGUUCUUCUUCUUCUCCUUAUUCAAGUCUAUCCGCACACCACCCUUUUUAUCUUUCCCAUCAUUGUACCCUUGUUCUUGUUUCACUCGAGUUGGAGAUAUGAGCAAGGAGGAGUUUUUGAAGAUCCAGGUACGAAACCAUUUUUCUUCCUUUUAUUUAUUUUCCCAUUUGUUCUUAUCUUCCACUACUUUGCUUCUUUCCAACUCAAGAUCUCGAGUGCUCUCUCCUUUUCUGGUUUCUCUCUUUCUACCCCUCUUAUGCAUCCCCAUUAUUUCCUCUAUGUUUGGAUACUUCCCAGAAGUUUUGGGUGUUUCUUCCCUUCACUCUGAAUGAGGACUCUAAUUUCUUUUUUGCGCAUGCAGACCUGUGUGCUGAAGGUGAACAUUCACUGUGACGGGUGCAAGCACAAGGUCAAGAAAAUCUUACAUAAAAUUGAAGGUAAUUCCUUGUUUUGAGACCUUUAUUUUUCAAGAGAUUUUUUCUCUUAGGAUACAGAUUUACAUUUACCAUUAAUUCGCCCUAGUGUGUGUUUCCUUGUUUUCUUGUGUGGCCGUUUCAUUUUCAGUAUUCUUGGUUGAUUCUUUUCGUUUCACAAUUUGUCUUGUAGGGGUUUACACAACCAAAAUAGAUGCAGAUCUGGGGAAGGUGACAGUUUCAGGAAAUGUAGACGCGGCCACGCUGAUGAAAAAGCUAAACAAAGCUGGAAAACAUGCCGAGCUCUGGGGUGCUCCGAAGGCCAACAACCAAAACCAACUGAAUAACCAGUUGAAGAACUUGCAACUUGAUAAUGGCGGCAAAGGUGGGGGCAAAAAGGGCGGAAACAACAACGGCGGCAACCAGCCUAAAGGAGGACAUCCCAACCCACAGCAGCAGCUUCAGCAACUCCAGCAGCAGAUGAAAGGCUUCCAAGAUCUGAAGCUGCCCCCCUUGGGUCAGGCUCCCAAAACCGUCAAGUUCAGCUUGCCUGAGGAUGAUGGUAUGAGUGAUGAAUUUGAUGAUGAGUUCGAUGAAGAGGAUUUAGAAGAUGAUGAGUUUUACGAUGAGUUGGACGAUAUUCCCCAUCAGCUUCCCAACAAAAUGAAACCGAAUGCGGUUAAUGGGCAGGGGACUCAGAUGCCCAACCUCAUGAUGUUGAAUGGUAUGAUGAACGCCCAGCAGAUGAUGAAUGCCCAGGCCAUGAUGAAUGACAAGAAGGCUGGUGGUAAUGUUGGGAACGGUAAGAAGGGUGGCGGUGGCGGUGCUGUGCCAAUUCAGAUAAAUGGCAAUGAUGGGAAAAAUGGUGGAAAGAAAGGCGGUGGCGGAGGUAAUAAUAACGGAGGGAAUCAAAAUCAAGGUGGUAUCGGCGGCGGUGCUAAGAAUGGUGGCAAAAAUGGCGGUGGGGCGCCAUCGGAGGGUAAAAAUGGUAACAACGCUGGCGGUGGGAACAAUAAGAUCGGUAAUAAUGGCGGCGGUGGUAACGGUAACGGUGGUAAGAAAGGCGGAGCCGCGAAUGAUGUUCAUGCCAUUAACAACAUGCCCAAUGCGAUGCAUAACAUGGCUGCCAUUCGGGGCCUUGGCGGAGGGAAUAUGGGCCAGAUGCCCAUGGGCCCCAUGGGGAACAUGCCCAUGGGCCAGAUGGGCAACAUGUCCAUGGCCCAAAUGGGUAAUAACAUGCCUGCAGUGCAGGGCCUACCAGCCGGCGCCAUAAACGCCGGUGGUGCCGGCGGCGGCGCCCCCCCUGGUUACGGCGGCGGCGUCCCCCCUGGUUACUUCCAAGGAGCCGGCCCGGAAGUGAUGGCUGGAAACCCCUACUACCAGCAGCAACUGGCUGCCAUGAUGAUGAACCAGCAACGCGCACAUGGCAACGAGCGGUUCCAGCCCAUGAUGUAUGCUCGCCCCCCUCCUGCAGUCAAUUACUUGCCCCCAUACCCACCUCAGCCCGACCCCUACACCCAUUUCUUCAGUGACGAGAACACCUCGAGCUGCAAUGUCAUGUGAAAUCCCUGGAUUUCCCCUGCUCCGACAUGUUUUGUUAAGGUCACAGCGGGUGGCGGUGGCAGCUGCCCAGUUACAGCAAAAGGAACUCCCGUCUCAUGCCAUGCACACAUUCUGGAGAUGGGUUCAUUUUUAGUUGAAUUAUCUUCUCUUUUUCCUUUCUUUUUCCUUUUUUUUUUUAAUCCCUUAAUUUUCCUUCUCAUCCUGAGUUGAAUUAGGGUUUUAAUUAUGAAUAGGGGGAGUAUUUAUAGAUAAUAUAUUAAAGUUUUAGAGGAGUCUGAGAUGUAAGUGGGAGACGGACGGUGGUGGGGCUUUCUCAUGGGGAGAUGUUUAUAUGGUGUUUAUAUGUUGAAAACAAAAAUAAGAUGGAAAAGGAGAAAUGGGAAUUUAAAACAAAAGCCCAUCUCUCUGCCCGUUUCUCUCCCAAGUAGUCCCCAACACUCUUUACUUGCUAUUCUUCUCUCCUUUCUCUUUCACACCCGCGUGUAUGUUAUGAUUGGGAAUGGUGUGUGUGAUGCCAAAACUGUGGGUUCACGCAAUGAAUUGAGUUAUUGGAUGGGGGGUUGGACCCACCACCGCCUUGUUGUAUUGAGAAAGCAGCAUAGCCCGCCAUGUUGGUGGGUUGUAUUAUUUGGUGUUGGGGCUGGGUCUGGGUCUGGGUUCCUAGCCAAAACAUAUCAGGAGAGGAACCGGAGAACGUGUUGACAAGGACCAGCUAACUACUUUAUUUCGAAAAUCUAACGGCGUUGACACUUUGACACGAAUUUUGGUAAGCGACUAGUCUAAUCAAUGGAAAGGGAGGACCGAGGAGCCAUCAUCAAGUGAGAGUGUGAGAGAGAACUCAGAAAAGUGUGGGGGGAUUCACUCCAUCUAUAAUGGAUCAUCAUCAUGAUAAUUGCCUCAUCAAGCUCCAGCCAUCUGUCUAAUCAGGACAGUGAUGGUUGAGGGUCCCUGUACUUUUCCUAAAAGUACUCGUCUGUUUUCUUUUAUUCGUUUGUGAGAAGCAUUGGAUCCUAUCUCCGUAGUUGGGAUGAUAUGAAAUAAUAUGCUUUAACCGCAUCGUGAGCCCCAUGGGCAUUAAACAGACAAGUAGUAGUAAGGCUUAUGUAUUUGCUUACGACAACUUUGUGUUUCUUUCAGAACACGGGUAUGCACGGGGGCUGUGGCCUGACCCAACAAUUAAUGGAGGCCUCAGCUCGAGAUCCUAAAACUUGGAAGGUGUUUGGACUACAACUUCAUCUUGCACACAUCCUCUCCCAAACACUCCCAAUCUCGCCAGGCCAUGCAUGGGGGACACGUGGAGACUGAGGGGGAGGGAGUGUGAAGGUUAGGUGUGGAGUCACGUGGAGGGUGCAUGGGGAUGAGAGGAGGAAGUUGUGGGGGUCGUUUGGACGGAAGCGAGAGGGUGCCGGGGCCCUCACAUUCACCAGCCACCCUUCACACCAUCACACCCAUGUAUCUCGUAAUAAAUGUGAAAUGUUGUCACAGAAUUUUCCACUUCUUAGUUAUGAAAAUCGCAUAAAUCCAAGCCCGUUUUGGGGGAGAAGGACGAGAUUGGUUUGAGCUUUUAAGAGGGCGGGGGAGGUGGGUACUGUGGACUGGCAAGGUCGCUCAAAUUCAAUCAUGACCAACACGACACACUCACUUUUUCUUUCUUUUCGCCUUCUGCAUAGUAUUUUUUAAACCAAAAAAAAUUAUUUAGACUGAGAUUGACAUUCUGAACAUCACGUGGGCCCUCCCAUCAUUACAAGUAAUUAAAUUCUAUCUCUAAUACAUAGGGUUUUAAUCAAGUGUAAUAAAAAGAUACAAAGAGGGGCAUUUAAGUAAAAUAGCCCCGAAUAAUGGGUACAAACAGUCUGGUAGCCGAGAUGAGUUAAGGACCCAAUGGGCAAGGUUGUUGAGUCUCAUCAGCAGAAUGGUCCAUUCUCACCGGGCCCCGCAACUCCCCUCAAAUUGUCGCACAAAGGACAAGCUCCUUUUCCUAUUUACCAAAACGCCACUGACGGACCCAGCAAACGGCGAUUAAUCCCAUAAUUACUCCUCAAUUAAAAGGCGUUCAACGUAAUUAUGUUUAAUUAAAAUCAUCAUUGUUCCGUACCAUUCAAACUUUGAAUAAAUCCACCGGCAACCAUCGAACGGCGGAAAUGUCUCCAUUCUCUCUAAUUUAUUUUUUGUUGUCUUCACUAUUCACAGCUCAUACACAUCCGUACUCCAUGCCUGUGACUUCCCUAAAUUACAAAAUUAUCCUUAGUGGACCAAACUAAUACCCAAAUUUGUACUUGCAUGAGAUCAUAAAGUCCGAGAACAUCAUGAUUUAUCGACCAUUACCAUAAAUUAAUUUUUAUGUCAUAAACUAUAGGGUAAUUUAAGUUUAAAAUUAUGAUAAUAAGACUACAACUAUAGGUUAUAAAAUUAAAUUCUAUGAGCCCCUCCUCAUUCAUGACGGGGGUCCCUCCCUUUUGGUGCUAAGUUUUAUUAGGGUUUUUAGGGCACAUAUCCCACCAACAUCCACAUAAGGCCCAAAUCCAAGAUUUGAAGUCCCAAAAGGUCUUGUGUUUUUCCCCUUGAAGACACCUUUAGAUGUAAAUAUUGUAGGGUGGAAUCUUAUUAUAAGGACUAUGGAAGUGAAAGAAGAUGGCUAGACUCGAAGAUGAUGAUACUCCCAAUCCAAGUGGGACAAACGCACCCAAAAAAAUAUUGGAGCACGAAGUUAUUGGUUCUAAUUGUUGACAAGCUCGAAACUCUAAUCAUCAAAAGUAACCAAAAUUUCCCUUGGAUUAGCCCUAGUGGAUGUUCCACCAUCCAUCCACUUACUAGGGACCAAAUAAACUCAUAUUUUACUUUGAUUUUCUUUGCUUCACUUGUCCUUUCAAAGGUGAGUGAUAAAAAUAGUCUCAACCACUAUAUUAGUACAAGCACCCAAUGUCCUCUUGCACCAAGGACUUAGACCUAUUUGUGCUCAAGCAUCAAUGGUUUCGAAUUUCUAUCCCUCUUUUUAAAAAUUUUUAGAUCAUAAUAUCAUUUUAGUUCAAAGGUUUUAUGAUGGUUCUAGUCUAGUUUUUAGUUACACCAACAUUUCAUCCUUAGAAUUAUGGAUAAAAAAACAUUGAUUGAUAUGGCCUACUUCCGUACAUUGAAUCACUUAAUAUUAGGAUACUUACGAUAUGGUUGUUAAGGUUUUGAAUGCCUUUUUAUAAUAUCUAUGAAUUUUAUUAAAAAAUAAAUAAUAAUCAUCUUUAAAUUCAAGCUUUAUAAUAUUUUAAAAAAAAAUUGACCUUUAAAUUAUAAACUUUAUAUUAUAAAUAUUGAGUAGCAUGAUAUGCAUAUUGAGCCUAAAUCCUAUAAGAUUAAACUUUUAGAAAAAUUGAUAAUUUAACAUAAUUUCAAAACUUGAUUUAACAUUAGGUCUCGGGUUCGGCCUCCUCUUCAUAAUUUGCAUUUCCUUUUUCUAUUUGAAGCUAAUUUUCAAAUAUCAUAUCAUGAUAAGUUAAUAAAAUUAGGAAUAUUAAUUUUUUAUUACAAAAAUCUAUCUCAAAAGACUAUUUUGAGCUGCAGUGAGUAACCCUAGAAAUACUUUAUAACACCUUGAAAGCCCUUUACCAUGCAAUUAAAUACUUUAUAAAAAAAAUGUAUGUAUGAGGAAAAAGCUCGAAGUAGUUAAAAAAAAGAGAUGCAAAAAGGUCAAAAUUUGGAUGGAAGGCUUUAAGACCUGAACACACAAACCGGAGAUAACCCCACUUGCAAAAAAGCACCAUAAUGUCCAAAAACAAACUGUGCAGGGCGUUGAAAGGGCCUACCACAAUGGGGUUGGGUAAUUUAGGGUAGGCCAUGUCCAUGAAAGUUGAUCACACAGAGAGACUUAAAGUCACUUACAUGUAUAUUUGAUAUUUGAUGAUGAUGAUGAUGAUUCAUUGGGUGGAGUGAAACUUGAGUCCUAAGCAUUUGAAUUCUUCACCUGGCUUUUCAAAUCAUAGACAUGAAUAAAUAAUAUCAUGAAAGUGAAUGAUCUUCAAUUAUUGCGUCAAAUACAUUACACAUGGAUUUAAAAAAGUUGAUUUGAUGUUCUACAAGCUAAACCAUACUGAUUUGUCGCGCAUAUCUUGGAAUUAACCAAUUGUGGUACAAAAACAAACGUGGUAUUAUUUUAUUUUCAUCCACUUAUCCUCCAAAAUCGUAUCAGGAUAAUGGCAGCAACCCUGGGCUAUAUAGCUGAGACUCACGUAGAGGACCCAUUUCUUUGUUGGGUGAUGAAUCCAAAAUGGAGUGGGAGAGGGCACGAGGCCACACACUACUUCACUUUGUGCUACACAAGAUCUGCAUCACAUGGCAGAUAUAUAGCUGGAAUUUUGACCCCAUGAAGAGCCCUUUUCUCCCCAUGACUUGACAUUUUUGGUGCACGUCUUCUUCAUUCCUUUUAUAUAUUACUUGUGUGUAGCCCUGGGAGUGGAAGUUGUCCACGUUUACUAUUCGUUUGAAAAUCGAAAGUGAAACUUUAAAAAGUGGAGCCUGCACCAUUCUCUACGCAUGAAAGGCCUAGGGAACCUUUUGUCAAACACUUGCUGCUCAUUUGUUUUCUUUUGGAUUCAAAUUCAACCCACCCUCAAAUUGUAUGAAAAUGCCAGGAUUUUGUAUUGUUUAUAUGAUUUUUGAAGUGGGUAUUGUGUUUGAAUAUGAGGGUUUUUCUUCUUUUUUUACGUAUAUUAUUAUUUUGUUAUGGAUUAGGAGAGGACUAAAUAGAAGGUGAUGUGCAAUUGAGUUGAUGAUGGGAAUUAUUUAUAUCAUAUGUUUAAAAUACAUUACCUGAAAGGUUAAAGUCAAAAUAUGGCAUCACUGCAUGUGAUUUUAUAAUAGCAACAACUCAAGAACUGAGAAAUUAGGCAAGAAGCAGCAAUCCCAUAACAGGGUAUUGGCAGACAACAAAGCAGCAAGUCAAAAGCAAUACGAAAACUGAGUUACUCCUCAAUUCGAUAAAGUCCAACCAGCCAGUGGGUCUACGGUUUAAAGCUUGGAGCCCAUUCCAUGUCUCCACAAACUGAUAUGAAGACUACACAGCGUGGCAUACAAACACUGAAUUAUUUCUUAGAUUCUUCUUAUACACUCACACACACUCUAGUCUUAGCUUGAAAAGACAAAGAAAAAUGAUAAUAUAACUACAGAUUAAUUGAACAAACUGAAGCAUGAACUUUGAAGAUGGGCUGUCAUAUCUCGUGUAGAUCCCCCAUUGCCAUCCCUACACACGAUAUGGGUUAAAACUCAGAAGACCCUUGUUGUCUGCUGUGUCUAUGCCAAGAAGAAAUUAAAAAAAAAAAAAAAAGAUUGAAAUCUUGGGUGUUGAAGGGGACGAGGGAAAGGGACAGAGGGGCAUCAUGAUAUUGAGUGCCUUUGUCUGAAGCGUUUGGCAUCAGUCACCUGGAAGAAUGGAGAGGUGUUCGGGGGAGAUACCAGCCAGAUACGAUAGUAGUGUGUCUUUGACUGUGGCUUAAUAAAAUGAGUAGUUAGGCAAAAGACAAUGGGCAGCUACGAAUGGAGAGGAAGAUUAUUAAUAAAUAUAAUAUAAAUAGAAAGACAGAUAGGACUAGUGCUACAGAGAAUGAUUGCUUUCGAGUUGUCUGAAACUUUGAUUAAGCUCAAAGAAAUAUCAAAAAGCUGUGGAUUAUAAGCUGUUCAUUUGAUGACUUUUCAGUUAUGUAUGUUCAUUCACGUGGGUCUUGGAUUUUGGGAGAUGCCUAAUGCCUUGUUACAAUCAUUACUUUGUUAAAAGAUUCUGACCCUGUGACCAUCUUCCCCAAGUUUGGAAUCACCAUUAACACUACACUUCUUUAGUUUAAUCAAAAUAAAGGAAGAGACCAUUUCCUCCUCCAAACCCAAAACAAAAAUAUUAUCAUUGGUUAACGGGACUUGGAUUUUGGGAAGUUUGGAGAAAAGUGUGAAGGUUUUCAAAAGUUGACAGGUGGAAAAGGAAAAGAAAACAAUACAAGCUAAGAAGAGAAAUAAUGAAGAAAUAAAGGGAAAAGCCUCUUUUAGUAUUCCUAUUUGAAAAUACAUGUAAAAUGUAAUUCAUUACUAUCUUUUAGGCUAUAUUUGUUAAGAAGAAAAUAUAAAAGAGGAAAUAAAAUUAAAGAAUAUAUUCAAAAUCAAUAAAUUAUUUUUAUUUAUUAUAUAAAAAUUAUAUAAAUUUAAAAUGUAUAAAUUUUCAACUAAUUAUAAUUAUAUUUAAUUUUUUAUAUAUUUUUCACCAUAAAAACAAAUAUAGAAAAAUUAUUUUUAAUUUUUUUUUCUUAAUACUUUUUGAGUUUUAACUUAAAAACACAUGAAAUAUAAAUUAUUUUUAAAUGUUGGUAUUUAAUAUUUUUUUUCAAACUUCUACUACAAAACACACUUUUUGUUGAAAUAAAAUAGAAGGUAAGCUCAAGCUCUAUAUAUAUAUAUAUAAAUAAAAAUUAUUAAGACUUUUAAAAUUGGAAGGUCACGUGGACAUGUGAGGCCCACGUGAUAACAUGGACUUACAUUAUGAAUAUUCAAUACUUCCAUAAUAUAUUAAUAUCAUCUUGGAUAAUGUAGAAUAAAUAAAGGUAAUUUAAAUAAUCUGAUUAUCAAUGUAUAUAUGAUUUAAUUAUUGAAAAUUUUGCUUUUAAAAAUAUUGGCUUCAAUUUUAUUUCAAAGAAAUUAUAAUUAUUUGAAAGAAAAUUUAAUUUUCUUGAUACAAAAUGAUUACAAGAAAAAAGAUCGAGACAAAAAAAAUAUUAUAAUAUAUUAAACCUAAUUAUUUAUAGGGUAUCAUUUUAUCAACAUUUUAUAUAAGAUUUUGACUUUUUAGUUGAUAUUCGGAUUGCUUAUUUAUGAAUAAGAGAAUAUUCAUUAGAUCUUAAUUUACAUCAAACAAGCCGAUUACAUUAAAAGCAAGCAAUCUAGAAAUCUUUUAUCGUAAUUUUUUUUUUUUUGUUUUUUGGAUCAUAAAUGCACUUCAUUACCUAGUAAUUAAUUAGCUCUAUUGAAAGGAUAAAAAAAUUUCUAGUAGUUGGAAAAUAUUUCGAGAGAUUUAAAUGUCCAUGAAAAGUGACUUAAUUGGAAAAUGAAAUCUUGGAAAAGGGUGUAGGAAUAUUAUAUAUCACAAAAAUAGUUGUCUUGAUGUCGGCAUUCUCAACCAGAUGGAGACAAGCAUCAUGGGUGUCUCUGAAAGCAACCACUCCAUCAUGGAAUAAACAAAAAAAUGAGAGGGGACGAGAGAGCUAAGUUUCUUGAUUCAUAAUAAUUAGGAGCCACCUUGCUCAAUCCAGUUCUCACUUGGAAUUUUGUGAAAAUUAUUUUUAAGAUUAAUAUGAGUUUUUAUAUAUGUUUUGCUUAUUUUAUCAAAAAAGAAAAAAAUAAUAAUUUAUUAAUAAAUCAAUUUAAUAAUUUAAAAUGACUUAAUAACUUAAUUUAAGUCAUUAAAUAUAUUUAGUAAAAUGACUUAAUGGUAAGACUUAAAGUUAAAAAUAAUUAAUUUAAUUUUAAAUUCAUAUUUUUUUCCUAUCUAUGUUGGUUACUUCCACGAUCUCUUCUAUUACUUUACAACCUUAAGUGUUAAUUCAAUUUUUCUAUCAUAAUUAUAAUUUAUAAGGAUAAAUAUGUUAAUUUGAUUAUUUAAAAUAAGUUUUAAGUUAAUUUUAAUAUUUAUAUAAAUAAUUAAGUAAUAAUUUUGAAAUCAACAACUUAAAUAUAAUUUAACUUAAAGUUAAUUUAAGUUAUGAAAUAAUAAUGAUUAAAUUUUACCUGACAUUUUCUUAAAAAAGAACUUAAUAUGGAAAAUAAAAAUAAAUAAAUUUUAAUAGAAAUUCUAUUUUGAUUUUCAUAAAAAAUUCUUUCAUGUUAAAAUUUUUUUAUAAUACAAUAUCAUUCUUAAAAAAUUUUGACUUUGACUUCAACUUUAAUUUUGGAUUAAAACUAAAAAUAGAAGUUGGCAAACUGUUCCAAAGCAUGGGCUUUUUGGCCCAAACCAAACUUGCAGGCCUUGCCAUCUAGCCCAAUGGUUAAUGGGCUACCAAAUUGUUCCUUAUUUACUUGAGAUAUUUUGAUGGUGACUCUCCAUAAUUGGAAUUUGGACUAAACAAGAAGAUUAGAUGAUUGAUUGUCAUGUAUGUGGGCAUGUGAAAAAGACAAUUUUGUAAGGUGGGAUGGGGGGGAGGCCGACAUUGCGGAAGACUACAGACCAAAAACAAAUGUGGGAGGUCGACAUGGUGGGACACUAUUUAUGCGAUGCUCCAUAGUGUGAGACAACAGUCCUCAUAAUAUGAUGAUACAAAGAACAAGUGGUUUUGGUGGCCACUAAUCAAUAUAUAUAUAUAUAUUAUUUAUAAGCAUUAUUGUUAUUUUUAUUACUGUCCAAAAGUAAGGAAGUAGUGGAUACUAUAAAAUAAAUUCACCAUCGGCAAAUACUAGCGGAUCCAGGCAAGACAGCUGCCCCCAACUUCAAAUUUUAAAGAAAUUAGCUCCCUUACCACUAGGUUACUUAAAUAAUUUGAUGUUAUUCUGUACUCUUGAUAUAAGUUUCAUAUAUUGCCCCCCUCAAUCUCUUCCUAGCUUUGUUUCUGAUUGCAAAUCUCGUUGAUUUUUGUGUAAUAAUUCAUGAUGAAAAAUUAUAAAGAAAAAAAGAAAAGAAAAUUCACAAAUUUAACGUGGUUUGACAGAUUAUUUACGUCACGAGAACAUGAAAAAAAUACUUUUAUUAUAUUACAAAUUAAAAUUACAUAAAAAAAUAUUUAUACUAACCUUCAUAUAAUGAAAUUUCAAAAAUAUUCCCGAAUGUUGCCCCCUCCCUCCAAUCUAUCGUACAUCUUGAACAAUAAAAAUAUAAACUUGAAUAGUAAAUAUCGUUGCUCUAUUUUAACAUUUACCCUUUUUUUUUUAUAUAUCUUUCACUCAAUAUGAGUGACCAGUAUAACAAAUCCACUUAUUAUAACUAUUGAAUUAAUAAUGAUUUGAUUAAAAAAUACAAAAGACCUGUUGAGAACAUGAACUGAAAUUUCACAAAAAAAUUGACAAAAAAAAAAAAAAAAAAAAAGGAAAAGGGGGAAAGGUGACUUGGUCAAUAGAGUAGGAGAAACAUGGUUGUCAGCUCCCAAAGUAAAUAUAACCAGUUACCUAUAAAUUGAGAGAUGGCAUGCUGUGUCAUUUUCACCGGAAAACCAGGCAUAGUAUAAUAGAUUAAAGCCAUAAAUUAUUAUGGCAAAGGUGAUUUCAGUGCGCCCUCCAUUACUCCGCAGCGAUUAUUGAUGACUUUGGAUGAAUUCUAGAACAUGAAUUAUUUAUAGUUAUUUAUGCGUAUCAAUAAUGGAGGGAAAAAGACAGCAUACUCCACAAUUCCAUUGCAAAAUAUUCACAUCCUUAUCCAAAAAUUAUGGCAUGCCAUAUCUAUCGGACCUCAUCCAAAUAGCCCUUUGAUGUGUUAAAUCUAUCAGCUCCAAUGAUAUCUACGUAGAAGUUGUUGGCUCACUCCUGAAUAUGGUUAAUAAUAGAAAAAUAGGAAUAGAGAGUCCAGUGUGUUCAACCAAUAGGCCUUGGAAUCCGUGGUGGAGUAGCCAAGCAUUGUCAAUUAAUUGGGCCAUGCACUGCAACCUACUUCCUCCUAAGGUUGUUUUCCGCCAUAAAAAAAGUUGGGUUUUAAAGAUGAAGUGCAUGAUUGAUUUAUUGGUGGAUAAACAAAUAAUAUAGAAUGAUGCAAGUCAAAAAAGGGUGUGCGUUUCCUAGGAGAAUUCUACAUUCAAAGCUCAACCUUCAAGACAUUAGCAGAAGUAAUCACAUGGGAGGCAUGAUGGGGGGCACUGGCUGAACCGGUGCCGAGCCAUGCCAAUCCAACACACUCCUCUGCCUCACGCACCCUUGUCAGUACUCGGUCGCCCGUCUCCCCCCCCCCCCCCCCCAUAUUCCUAUGUGUUAAGAAGGGACCCCCUGGUAUUUCCCCCUGCCCUUAAAAAACUUUGAAAGGGGGGAGUGGCUUUCUGGGUAUUUGAAAAAANNNNNNNNNNNNNNNNNNNNNNNNNNNNNNNNNNNNNNNNNNNNNNNNNNNNNNNNNNNNNNNNNNNNNNNNNNNNNNNNNNNNNNNNNNNNNNNNNNNNAAAAAAAGUGGGGUUUAAAACGGGAAGCCCAGGAUUGUUUUUUGGGGGGAAAAACAAUUAAUAUAAAAUGAGGAAAGCAAAAAAGGGGGGGGCUUUUCUUGGGAAAUUUCACCUUUAAAAGCCCACCCUCCAAAACUUUGGCAAAAGUAUCCCCUGGGGGGCCAUGAGGGGGGGCCCGGGCGGACCCGGGGCCGACCCAUCCAAUUCCAACACCCUCUUUUCCCCCACGCCCCCUUGUCGGUAUUGGGUCCCCCUUCCCCCCCCCCCCCCCCCCCAUAUUCCUAUGUGUUAGGACGGUACCCUCUGCUAUUCCCCUCUGCCUUCAAAAAGCUUGGAAUGGGCGUAGUGGCUUCAUGUGUAUGUGAAACAACAUCUAAUCCCAUCGAUUCAUGGUACUUCACUUCUCUUCUAUACGAUAUAGUUGAGAAAAAGAGAAACGUAAGUACUGAAUGAAACUUUCGAAUUGAUUUGAUUUCGGCAACAUUUCAAGGCAACGGAAACAAAAGAAGAAAAACAUAUCUUCAACGCAAAUUGCAAGGGUUUAUUCAUGUGAUGUUGCACUGCAUACGUUUUUAACCUACACGAUUAUGUACAGUGGAUGAGGGCCCUACACCCCCUUCUUCUUGAAACUUGCAUCACAAUUUAAUACGGCCGUUUGCAGUGUACUGAAUCCACUGUGUACCAACUAGACAGAUUUGACAAUAAUACCCUCCAGAGAAUGCUGACCCCGGCCUGGAACCACGUCUUCAUCGGUAACCUAUCUGCUAAAAUAUCUCUAGAAAGAUAUUCCCGUAAAAUAAAAUUGGAAAAGUACAAACCCACGUUCUGAUCUGCGACACACCGGACACUCCUCUGCACUCGCUACACGGAAUUCAACCUUUUGUCUUUUUUCCCUGCUCUCUUUUUGUCUUUUCUACGGUUUUUUAUUUUUUCUCUUGAAUUAAUAGUACUGUUGAAGCGCGGUCGCUUAGCCGAGCCAAGCUAAGCCGCAAUGGGGGGAGGUAAAACCGUGGAAAGAUGAAAAAAGAGAAAGGAAUAAAAUAAUUGUACUCGCCUCCUAUUAAGUUUCCAAUAAUUGGAAGCAUUCCUCGGAGCAUUUUCAGAAUUGCACCCGCCUCCCCACCCUCCUCCGAUUUAAUAAUAACAGCAAAUGUCAGCAUUAUUAUAAUGUUUUACACCUGGGUGGACAGUAGAGUCGUAGACUUGCUAAUUCAAUCAAUUUAUGAACAAAAAUAUUAACAUUAUUGUAACCUUUUAAACAUGCCUAAGAAACAAGGUGUGACAUAGUUUCUACCUAUCAAAUCAAACAAUUAAAUUUGACCUUUUUUCAAUAUUAUCGGGGGAUGGUAAAUAGUAAAUACCGGGGAGGGGCAAAAGGGGAAAGGGAGAGAGAAAGAUGAUAAACGGCGGAGAUGUCCCCGCUGUGAACAGAAGGAGCAGGAAUCUUUAUCAUGUAUGCGGGACCCACCCACAAAUGGCAACACUCCCCCACACGCCUCAUUAUUACUUUCCCCCACAAGGGAAAAAAGGAAAAAAAAAAAGAAAAAAGCGAGGCUGCUGGCCGUACACGUGGUAUGAUGAGAGGCGCGUGACUGGGCAGUGAUGAUGACGACAGCUGAGCGUCACGCGCGAGCGACGGUCACGGUGAAGGAAGCCCCCGCUGGAUGCUGCCGGUGGUGGUAGUGGUGAUGGGGGGUGUCAGAGAUGUGGGGGUUGCAUCAUUUGUAAUUUAGCUUUGAAAUUUGGAUGAGAGGGUGUUGGUGCCUAGUGGACACGGGAUAGUGAUGGUGGUCAAAGCUUGCUGCUUGUGAGUUGUGAUGCGGUUCAUAAUUGAGCGAUCGGAAGGGCGGAAAGGGCUGCAGCUGCACAGGGCACAGUCCCCACCACCUCACUCGUUUUUUUUCUUCUUUUGGCCUAAAGCGCCCCUUAAUUUUAGGGUUCUAUGUCCCUUUGGAUGCGCCCAUUUGAAAUUUUCAGUGUUUUUAACCUGCCCAUUGGCUUCAUCCCCGCUUCCACAUUUGGAUUUUUGCUUUCUUUCAUUGUAUCCACGCUAUUCUUUUCAAUUAACCCUGACUGAUUUUGACUAAAUUAUUUUUGAAUGCAAAUCAUUUUAAUUCUUUAAAGUGACAUCAAUGUUAAACUAUGCUUAUAUAUCAAGUAACAUUUCUUUUUCUUUUUUUAAUAUGAAAAACCAUGUGAUUAAUGUGUAGGCGUUACAUAUAAUAUAAGUAUAUAAAUAUAAGUUUUAUCUUAUACUUAAUAUCUAUGUACAUAAAUCAUAUGCAUUUUUAACUAGGUUAUUUAACAUGUGCACAUAAUUUAUAAUUAAUAUUUAAAAAUAAAUAAAUUUAGAGAUUAGGUUGAAAUAAAAGUGAAACUUCCUUUAUUAAACAUGAUACAUAAAUUUUAAAAAAAAUAUAAUUUAAAAAUAACCAAAGGAACUAUUAAUUACCUAUCACAUGAGUUUCAUUACCGUAUUAGAUCGGUUUCUAUUGAAAGUUCGAAUCAAUCACAAUAUAUCAUGUCUUCACAUUACUUUAUAUGUUAUUUAAAUAUUUAUUAAUAACAUACAUUUAAUUGUACACCGUUCAAGAUUAUAAGGCCAUUUAGUCAUGUUUUUUAAAGCUUGUUUUUAAAAAUAAUUUUUUAUUUUUUAAUUUAAAAACAAAUUUAAAAAAGAAUAAUCAAACGCACCCAUAUUUUCCUUUUGUUUUUAAAAAUGGGUGAAAACAACUUUUAAUUAUUCUUUAAAAAUUGUUCUUUAUUUCAUUUUGUUUUUAAAAAUUGUUUUAAAAAAACAACGAUCAAACAAUGUUAUAAAAUUUUAAAAAUAGUUUUUGUUUUUAAAAAUGAAAAAUUAUUUUUAAAUCACAUGACCAAAUAAGUUCUGAGUUUCACAAAUAUUGAAUUAAAACCUUGAAAUUUUUUAAAACUAAUAAAUUUUUUGUAUAAUAUAAUAUUGGUUAAGUCCCUUCUAUUAGUCUUAGUACAAAGACAUAGAAUAAUAAUGAUAAAAAUUAUAAGAACCAUAAUGCAAUUAUUAUGGGUUUGAAUACAUGAGUUAAUAUAUUACUUAGAAUAUAUAAUAAAUAUGAUAACAAAAAAUAAAUUAUAUACAUGGUGGAUUCAUAAUCGAUCCUAUCUUCUUUAAGGAAAGAAUUUGAUAUUUUAAAAGCGCGUUUAAUAAUGCUUUUAAUAAGUACUUUUAAUAUUUGUAACACUUUUUAAAACCACUAUAAACGUAAUCUAAAAGUCUCUUUGAUCAUGAUUCUAGAAAAUAUUUUAAUUUUUUUAAAAUUUGAAAGAUAAAAAUUUUCAGAUAUUAAAAAAGUUAGAAACGAUAUAAUUACUAUCAAACACACUCUAAAAAUGUGUUUAAUAAUAUUUUUAUUUGAAGUAUUUUUAAUAAAAAUAUUUUUACGAGAUCAUCUAUUAAGUUUUUUUUUAAUUAAAAAUACUAUAAAUGAUUUUUCAUAUUUUAAAAAAUAUUUUUUAAAUUAUGUCAAUCCCGUAACUUUUUUUCAAAAAUACUUCAUAAGUUAAAAUGGCUUCCUAGAAUCACACCCAAUGAGUUGUAAAUUUAUAAUAAGAGUAAUUAGUAAAAUCAUUCCAAAAUUUGAGUAGUGUUGGACAUGAUAGCUGAGGUAUUCAUGCGCAGUGGCUGUGUAUCAUGGGAUUUAAGGGUUGAGUGGGGAUGUGUUGGCUAAAAUUCCGGCAAGUGGUUGGUUCACAUGAUUGAGACUGUGGACAUGUAUUUACUAACUUGAAGGCCCAUCGGUUACUUAUAUUAUUAUGAUAAGCAAAUAAUUAUUAACAGGCCAUUCAAGUUUUUGAGUGUAAAUCAUUUUUUUUUUUGGGUGCAAACAUCCGUUCAUCCUUUUCUGGCUGUUUUUUAUUGGACUUUCGGUUUUUCACAAACAACAAUAAUAACAUUUAUUUUUAAAUAAAUGUUAUGUUCUCUUAGAUACUUUAUUGGAUUUGUCCUUCUAAAAUAUUACCAAUUUUAGGAUUGGAUUUUGUGAAAAUAAUUUUAUAUGUGAAUUAUUUUAUUUGUUUUUGUCUUUAAAUUCAUUUGUUCUAUUCUAAGAUAAUUAACUGAUUGAUAAGGAGAUUGUUAGUAUUUUCAUUCAUCUUAGUAAUAUAAUGUAGAUUUGUUAUUAUAGUUUGAUGUUUAUGCAAGAACACGUGCAUAAAGCUAGAAUCAACAAGAAGAUGAAAAGAAUAGUUAAGAGAUGGGGAAAGAGACUUUAGAUAAAGAUUUUGAUCGUGGUUUGGCAAAUCCUACAUUCCUCCAUGCUCCCAAGCUUCUUCAAGCCCUAAGAAGUUUUCACUAUUCCUUCAGGUGUUUUUUAACCAAGAUUCAAAUACAUACUCUUGUACUGAGGAAUUUGUAUAAGUUUUUGAUGCCAUCUUACCUUUACAAGCUCUUUACAAUAUUCACAAGGUUCUUAUAAGAUUUCAAGAAAAGAUGGGAAUAAAGAACUCUCUUUGAAGAGUAGAUAUAUAAAGUAAAAUAUACUUAAACUUAAGUACAAUCAAAGAGUAUAAAAUUUUGGGUUUAAUGCUCAAUAAAUGCUCAUGGAAAGUUUAAAUUCGAAGUAAUAAUGAUUUGCAAGUUAUGGGUUUGUUAUAAAAUGAGUUUCAAUGGUCCUACUUAUAACUUUAGAAAACUAGCCAUUAGGCAUAUUUUUUUACUCAAUUUGUUUAAAUCCUCCACUUACCAACCAUUAGCAUUUGUAGGUGACCAUUGAGACUUUUAUUAGUUAACAAGUUGCUCAAUUGGUUGACCAUUUGGUUUAUUGACUGCUCGAUUGAUAGAUAACUAUCAAGGUGAAUCAGUUGUCCACUUUAGUUAACCAUUAGCCAAUAACAUAAGAAACUCAGAAAAAUGUUACAUAAGUGAUCUUUAACUAUUUAGGUGAUUUUCUUUUUUGGUUUUACUUAAUUCUAAGUAAAACUUGAUACUAAAUAGUGCUUAGUAGUACUGAAUUGUUUCUUAAAGUGAUGAACAUCGUUUAAUUCUGUUCAUAUGAUUUAAAAUGUUAUUCAAUUAAAGUUCCUAAAGUGAAAAAGGCCACCUUAAUGAAAUCUUACAUUCCAAUAUUUAAACCAAGUAUGAAAGCUAUCACUUAUAGCAUUGGAAAUGUCCCCAUGGUAGAGUAGGCAUUUGUAGAUUAAAGGUAAUUUUCAUUCUAUAUCCAAGUCGCACCAUAAGAAGUAUUAUUGAAAGUAAUUCAUGGGGAAGCAAAGUUCUUCAAUGACCUCCUAAAAAGUAGCAAGUAGAAAUCCGAUUGAAUGAUAUCAAAUUGAAUGUUCAUACAUUUCUAGACCUUAGAUUAAUUUAUUGAAAUAGUGAAGUUUGAUAAAUCAAAGGAUUUGAGUUUCGAGUAAUAUCUCUAACUAUGGAAUUGAAUCUUACUAUUAUUACACAUGUUAUAUUCUAUAUAAACUAGAAAUACUAUUGAUUUCAAGAAAUCAAAUUAACUUGAUUCAUUUCAUGAUUUUGUAAACAUUUUUUCAUAUCACGGCAUUGUCAAUUAUAGAUUGUUACUAUAUCAUUUUUCAAAAAUCAUAAUCCUCAAAGUACUUAUGUGUAUCUCAAGAUGCUUUAAGCAAUAAUAUGUGAAUGUUUUGAUUAAAAUGGGUUUAGGAGCUUAAUUUAUAUCACUAUAGACAUUUCGAAUGCUCGAAAUCAUACAAAAGAUUAUUAGUGUGCAAGAAUAGAGUUUUCAAAUGUUUUACAUGGAGCAUUUGAAUGUUCGAUAUAUAUAUAUAUAUACAUUUUAAAUAGGGCAUUCGAAUGUCUUUAUUACAUAAGGUGUAUCGAUGGUCAUUUUUUCACUUUUCCUUUGUCUUUUCACUCAUUAAUUAUUUCUUCAUGCUCUCAUUCCGCUCAUAUCUAAGUGUUUUUAACUCUCAAUUUUCAUUCGUGUGCCUUAAAUUUGUUUUCAUAGGGUUUUCUUGUACUAGGUCUAGAACACUUUUGGCUAUUCACUUUCUCAUGUUAGUUCCUAUUCUUCUAGAUUCUCUAGAUUUUCUACAUAGCUCCUCAUAGUGGUACUAGGAGGGUACUUUCAUUUCCCUUUAGGUCACCAUGCCCUAAGAGAUUUGUACAUGCUUCAUAUUCCAUGGAUGAUCUUUUGUUCAUUAUUUCCAUUCUCUAUAGUAUAUAGAGACUUUCUAUGAGAAGUUCUUUGACUACUUGUGGAGCUUGAGAGCUGGACGGAUUUAUCUUCGAGAUGUUAAAUGGGUCGUGUUGAGCCAACCUUACACAACUCAUGAUCCUACAUAAUAGUCAUGCCAUGUUGUGUUGAGGUAGUGGGCCACGUUGGUUGGUCACUUCAAUGGGUCACCCUACUUUGUUAAUAUUAAAUUUAUUUUGUCAAGUUAUUCUAUUGUCUUAGAUUUGUUGUUAUUAUUAAGUGAAAUUUCUUUUUGACACUUCAAACAUCUUAAAUAAUUACACUUUUUAUUUUUAUGUUUAUCGAAAUUUGUAAUUAUAAAAUUUAUAAAAUUUUAAUUCUUUGCUUUUUAAAAAUAGAAAAGAUCAUAUUUUAAUUUAUUGUUGAUCAUAAUAAUAAUAAAUUUAAAAUGUUGAAAUAUAAAAGAAAAUGAAAUAUAUGUCCAUGAAUAUUUCAAUAAAUUACAUGAAAAAAGGGGAAAUAAGUAAGAAUUGCAUUUCACAUGAAAAAUAAAAAUAGGAAUUGAUUUACUUAUUUACCCUUUAAACUAGAUGUUAUACCGUUAUUAGGUGGGAUACUUAUGACGUUAUGACAUUUGGCAUGAAAAAGGAAAAAAAACAAAAGUAGUAUUAAAAUGGGCUAAGUGGCCGGGCAGAUGUAAUGGGUGAACAUGGUGGGCUAACAUGAUGGGGCACAAUGAUAGGCCAAUACGAAGGGAUCAUGCAUGCCCUUAAGCCUAGCAUGACCCGAAGGACUAGAUUGUGUUAGGAUCGACUGACCCCAUUUUUUAAUAUGCCAAGACCUACCUUCACAACACACUGAUGUUAUCAUUUACAUUCCUCUGAUUGAUGUUCUCAAUUUUGCAUGGCUACUUAGUACUUCGAGUGUAACAUGUCCUACCAUCCUUCACAUCAUACCUAAAUUUGGUGAUUUGUAACCUCAAGUUGUCCAUCAUGUCCUUAUAGUAAGGGAUAUCAAUAUGGAUAGAUUCAUCUUAGGUGUUGUUGACCCAUACACAGCAAAUACCCUUGUAGGUGGGCUUCCCUCUUCCAUUAUCAUCUCCAUCAUCUCCAGGAUUCUUGAAAUACCCUUAGAAGAUAAUAAGUUGGGUGAACCUUAACAAAGUGUAGGAAAUCUCAUAUGGUGGCAACAUAAUAAAUACGGGAGAAAAAGACCAUAAUGAGGGGAAAACUCAUUGACUGUCAGGGAAACAAUAAUCAUUCCUUGACACCAUGUGUAUUAUGUAUGCCCCACAGCAUAAAAAUAAAAACCAAUGGUGGCUCAAAUAAGAGCUAGAAGCGAAAUAGUCCCUUAUAAAUUUUCUAAGUUCUCCAAGCAGAGGAGAUGUUCGUAUGUGUAAUUAAAAGAUCAACUUUAUCCAUGUUCUAUUCAUUCUCAUAGCCCCGAAUAGAAACAUGGGAUUGAGCCAUUUUUCCCAUCAUUUGUUCUUCAUCAAGACGGAUGGAUAUCGUGGCCUUCAUUUUCUGUUUGUCUUUUUGCAGAAGGGAUAGAUAUUUCUGUAGUGGCACCUUCCAUGAGUACUCGCAUGGAAUGAAUGUGUUGCCAUUGUGUGGAGCCUAAGAAAGGUUACUUACUAAUGGCAUUCACUCUCUCAAGAGGCAAGUGCAUGUGUCAAUAAUUCAUUAAGCUUCUCCUAAUUAUAUGUAGCUUGAGGUCGACAUAAGACACAUUUAGCAUUCUUAACCCAUCUUUAUAUUCCUUGGAUUUUUUUUUUCUUUCUUUAACUUUGGUGCUAAUUUGACAAUUUGAGAGGGGAUAUAUUAUUAAUAGAGGUGUCCAAUGAGUCGUGUUGGGCCGGCAUGACCCACUUAAAAUUCGUGUCGGGCCAAGCCAGUCCAUGCAAGCCAAAUAGGUGGCCCAACACAGCCCAUAAGCCCAUGGGUUAAUUAUGUCGUGUCGUUUCGUGUCAGUGGGCUGUGGCCAUAGGCCACUCACUUUAUUAAAAAUUUUAAUUUAAUUUUUUUAAGUCAUUUUGUCUUAAGUUUUUUUAUUAUUAAAUUUUUUUUUGUUACUUUAAACACCUCUAAUAAUUAUACUUUUUAUUUUUUAUAUUUAUAUCUAUCAAAUUUAUAAUUGUAAAAUUUAUAAAAAUGCUAGUUUUUUGUUUUUAAAAAUAGUAAAAAGUGAUAUUUAAAGGGUGAAGUGGGUCGACACGAUGGGCUAGCACAAUGGGCCAACACAAUGGGGUAACACGAUGAGCUGACACGGUGGGCCGACAUGGUGGGUCGACACGAUGGCAUGGUGGACUAUUUCCUUAGACCCAACACGACCCUCUCCUUUGAGCCAUGCCAACCUGAGCCACUAUAGUAAUUGGGUCGUGUCUGGCCAUGGACCAAAAUGGGCAGUUCGACUCAUUGGACACCUCUAGAUAUAUACCGUCCGAUAUUUUCUUUAGUUUGCAAGAGGCUAUUCAAGGAGUGUGAAGUUGUGCACUAGACAAACUCUGUGCAAUACUCUAUGUAGUUUCUGAAGGGCAAUUUGGAAAAAAUGGUUUAUUGGAAAGUUUUGUUCUAACACAUGCAAGCACACAUAUAAAUAUAGAUAAAAUGAUUCUAGGAAACAUUUUUAAUUUUUUAACCAUUUAAAUUUUUGUAUUGAAAGAGUGUUUUUAAGUGUUAGAAAAAACUAGUAAUGCCUUUUAAAAUCACUGCCAAAAAAGUUCUUAAUAAUUUCAAGUGAUUCAUUUCACUAUGAAAAAUGGAUGCAAUAGUCAUAUUUGUUAGAACGUAAUUUUCUAUAUUAAAGUUCGUUUAGAAAAAAGUUCCAAAACAAGAAAAAUUCUAUAAUUACCUUUAUUCUUCUUUUAAUUUCACUCUUAAACUUUAUUUAAAAAGAUGUAAAAGAAGAUUAAUGACCGCUCCCUUCUUUACUAAAGGUCAAUGUGAAAGUUUAUUUAAGCAUAAAUCAUAUCUUUUUCAUUCUACUAUGUGACAUGACAGUCGUAAAUGCUGAGGCCAGUUCAUAUAGACGAAUUUUAGAGUUGAAAAGUGGGGUUUGGUGUUGGCUAAAAUCUCGGCUCCUCUUUUGGCGUCAUGUGAAUGACAAAUGUCAAUACUCGUGAAACAGGCCAUUCAAAUCUUUUUUUUUGGGGGUGUAAGAACAUUUUUCAUUUGUUGGCGUAUUACAGCAAAUGUGGUAAGCCAUGGACCACGUCUAUUGAAACACUCUCAAUUGUACUUGAGAAAGAAAAAUGCCAACGACUAAGUUCCAAUCGAUUCAUUCACCAUUUUUCGUUAAGUCCAGGUUGAUUGAGUGGCAUAUACUCAAAGUCCCCAUGUAGCGUGGACCAAAUGGCAGCCUUAACAGCCGAGUAUGUAAAUAAUUGACAAGCGAUCUUAUAUGGUUUGGGUUCGGAUUGGAAUUAUUGGAGUCUACCAACCAGGCCCCUCCUAAAAAUUCAAAAUCCAUGCCAUAAUUGUCCGGUUGAUCCGGGGAGAGUAGCCGUGUUUAUUCGACAGCAAGUAUAUUAAGGAGAAAAAAAGACAAAAAGUGAUAACUACUUCAUCUAAAUGUCUUGAAGGAGGUCUUAUACUGAGUACCCUUAAUCAGUAGUGCAGCCAAAAAUUCAUCAUGAAGGGUAGAGAUUUGAGGAUAUUAAAAUGAAAAAAAAAAGAAAAAAAAAAGCUUCAUCAUACUCUUACUCUCCUCCUUGGCAUGGGUGAAGGGGUUAAUCAUUGUCUUAAAACAGUCUUGUAUUCAUUUUCUUGGCACUCAUGACUACUAUUUUUGUGUUGUUUAUUUUCAUUUUUGAAGGGAACAUGUGUCUUCUAAGGUCCCAUGUGGAUCGGAUCUUAAUUUUAAUUAGUAAAAAUAAAUAAAUGUCAUGAGUAUUUAAUUAACCCUUGAAGAUAUCAUUUGACAGCAGCAAAGCUAGAUGGUGUGACUAGCUUGCAAAGAUUUUUGUUGCCUGCAAUAGGCCCAAAUCAAGUCCUUUAUUUAGGCUCAACCCAAGUUUUUUAUGGGCUUUGGCCAGUCCAUCCCUCCCUCUAGCCCUUUUGACAGCCGAAACUAUCUAACUAGUCCACAUUUGGUGAUAAGCUUAAAUCAAUGUUUGAUAUUUCCUCCAUUUCAAUGAUUCCCAAAAGGAUGAUUGGGUCCACGUACUUAUGAGAUGUGUUUGCAGAAUCUUUCUUGAGGUCUUUGUCAUGGGUUCUCUAUUUGUGUAUUUCUCAAGUUCGAAGUUAUCCUACCAAUUAAGAAUGAAGUUACUUUCUUCUCAAAAAUGCUUGAUAACAAGCAACUCUAUGAGUUGCUUCUGGGAACUAAACACAAUGACAUUUUGAAAAUGAUGCAUGACACUCACCUAUGCCUAUAUCAUUCUUGGUGUACAUAUAUUUUUUCAAAAGAUAAUUCACACAACAUGAACCGCAAAAGGAUAAGAGUAUUGGGUUUGUGCCGACCACAUUAAGAUGGGCCAAAGUAUAGUGAGAUCAGGCCGAUAAUCCUAUACAAGUUGGGUUCUUUUGUUGGCCUCAAAGAUUAAGGUAUAGACGAGAGCACUCUAAAAGCCUAAUCUAAGUGUUAUGGUAUUGAGUAAAAAACUUAUCCCUUAGGUGCAUGGUUGGCCAAUAAUAUAUAAAUAACCUUUAGCAUCUUAACACUUAUUGGUUUAAUUAAUUAUUAGACAUUUCAUAAACUUAUUUGGGCUAUAACAUACCACCCUUGAGCUUAAGUCUUAACAGUGUGGGUCAAUAAUGUAUACAAUAUCAACUUCAGUUCUAUCAUAAAUCUUUUUUAGUACAACCGGAAUUCAAAUACACUCGUAGUAAGUUCCAACUACCUACAAGCCUCCCUUGAUUUUUUUUUUUUCCUUCAUGAAUUUUAAGAGAAUUUCAUUUUGUACUGAUGUCUUAAUCGUUUUACCAUACCAUGCAUGAUCUCUUAGUCAUCGUUUUGGGUAGUUUUAACUUUUAACUGAUGAUCCCUCGACACCCACCUUUAGAUUGAUACAUUGGGUCGAUAAACUGACCAAAUCCAAGUAGGCAUAGACUUUCUUAUAUAAAUGUUUACUAUAUAGUACAUAGCAUACCUAGUUUAAAUUUGAUCAGAAUAAUCUAGCCAUGCAUGCAAAUAUAUGGCAUGAGAAAAACCAAACAUUUAUAGAAGAAUUGACAAUGAUCAGUAAGCAAGUCCAAAGUCCAAACAAGCUCAAACUGAAAACCUUCAUUAGUUAAUUAUCAAACGAGAGAAAAACACUCUCCAUUGCCAUAAAGUUUGCUUACAAUUAAGUAUAUUAAGUACAUAUAUAUAUAUAUAUAUAUAUAUAUAUAGUAGGCCUGUUAUUUAGGUUGGAGAAAUGAAAAUUAUUUCCAUUUGCCCAUGAUCACGACAUUAUAAGAACCAGUACCACUUUAGUUUUAAUAGGUUAUAUCUCAUUGGCAUAAACAGCAUCCGAGCGGAAGCUUUGCUGGACUUCAAGAGCUAGUUCCUCCACACUCAGCUGGCAUUCGAGUCCUAUCUGUUGAUAGAGAUACGAGAAAUAAAAGAAAUCAACAGCAAGAAUUUCAAUAAUAUCAAAUUCCCUAUGGUGAAAAAAAAAAUGUUGGGUUCUUUAUCGAUAUGUAUAUGCCAUCUUCAUGUGUGUCAUGUGUGCAGGGAAUAUUACAUUAGUUUGAAAUGUAUGCAGUACAAACAUCGACGAGAACUCAAACUUUCAUGUAGUUUUGCAACAACAUUAGUAAUAGCUGAACAAUUAAUCCAUAAUUUUAUGUAGUGGACAGCAUCUAAUUUGACUGAGACACUGUAGAUCAUAUGUAUAUCAAUAUACUUGAUCACGUGAAUGUAAUAUACUAGCCUCGCAUGCCCUCAACUAGAUGAUGAGUAAUAACCAGUAUGGGAGUGCAACUGGUGAUUGUAGAGAUAAAAGUUUAGGUACUAAAAAUUGUCAAGAUUUCCAUACUAGGGUUCUAGAAUACAAUCUGACAGUUUUUCCUCUUAUCCUGGGGUGAUUGUAGAGAUAAAAGUUUUGAUAUUUGGAAUAACGUCCAUGUGAUAUACAUACCUUUAUCACAGAGGAGUAUAGGACAGUUUCCUCCAUGCUGCUGAUGUUCAGAUGGAGGACUUCAAACGAAAAUUUCUCCAACACAUUGAUUAUUUUCACGAUUUGGCCCGGUAUGCGGCGAGAUAUUAUUCUCAAGAUGACAUUGGAUCCGGAGAUCUUUGCUUCAACAUCAGCAACUGAAGAGUUGCAACAUGCUCCUAGUUCCUUGAAGUUCUCCAAUCCAAAGGGGGUGUCGGGUUGAGAAGUCAGCUGCAAUGGCCUUGGGCUAGGACCAGGGCUUGGGCUAAGACUUUUCCUCCGUUUCUUGGACUCCAAAGACUGCAGCACUUGGUGCAGCUCCUUGAUGAAUUCUAUCACUCCCCCUAUUAUAGAUGCUUGAUCUCCCUUAAUAUGAAAAAAUAAAAACCAAAACCAGCAGGUUAAAAGUGGAUAGAAGUGGUGCAACUCCUUGAUGAAUUCUUCUGUGAAGAAAGCUGAUAGAUGGAGAAGAUAUAGAUAUAGAGAUCUAGAAAGAGAGAUUAAUUGAUUACCCUUUUGAUAUAGAAACAUGGGGUCAAGGAGCGUAAAACCUUGAGGUGCUCAUUCAUCUGUCUUCUCCUGUUCCUCUCAACAGCUAUGUGAGACAUGUUGUGGUUGAAAACAAGUCUCUCCACACAAUAUUGCUGACACACACACAAGUCUUGAGUCUUCUCUAUUUAUAAGCAGCAGCAAAUAUGAGAGUGGCAGAACUAGUUGUAGGUUGGCAUUAAAUGCGAGACGUUGCACUCUCGUGAGGUCACUUCCACUGAUGUCCCUCUCUCUCUCUCUUCUCUGGUAGAUAUAUUACAUCUCACGUUUAUUAUCUUGGGUCAAUUACGUGCCCCGUGUGAGUUAAAAGAAGGCAAGGGCUUCUUCCCGUCUAUCUCAUGCACAUUACCUGCCCCUUUCACUAUAUCAUGCAUGCCAUGCUCACCUCUUCAUCCCUCAAACUUUCUUCUCUCUGCCGUAUACAUGAUCUGUAUAUUUUCCCAACACCUUCCGAGCAUAUAUAUAAGAAUUCAACACACGUACAAGAGCACCAGUGUUUUCCAUUGUUGUGUGUGAUCUUUGUAGGGACCCCUCCCUCCGAGAACACGUGGCACGCAUCUUGCCGUGACACGUGGCACGCAUCUUACAGUGACACAUAACACACAUUGUCAUCCGGGUCAUCCUCAUUCGGAUCUUCCUAUAAAGCACACAGGGCGCACUUUUUAUCCGGACUGCCUCAAGGAAGAGCAAACGACGCUUACAAAGCAUAGACAUCCGGACGACUUCCAUUAAUGCAUCCGCUCCACAAUACAUCCUGAUAACCAACAUGGCUAUCCGGAUAUGAUUGUCCGGAUCAUUGACUAAAGUAAAGCGAGUCUUACACGCCAUCACAACAACCAACCAUGGCCCACGUCCCAUCACCUGCAGAGUGAAAGGAUGGGUUGAGGUGACAAUAAGUCACUUCCCACGAUCUCUGACAGCUGCAUCACCUACCACGGUUUCUGACAGUCACCCGUAGGGUGGUGAUGACUCUGCUACCAUCUAAAUAUCAUCAUGACAACAUAAAAUAUCUCCCCACCAUUAAUGAGAGGAACAGUACUCCUGGCACUAUAUAUAAACCUUCACACGAAGAGGAAGGUAAUCCCCGGAGACCUGAAAAAAUGUCAACUGAGUUAUAUCUCCCUCUCUAACAAUGGCUAACAAAACCAUCAGAGGGUGCGUCCGGACACCCUGUCCGGACGUCUUUUGCAGGUAUACCGACUGAGUCAAUAACCUAUAUUGGUUGAGGUUGCGCGUCCAUCCAUUUGGCAACUACGUGGAACGCCAGAAGCGCGGAGUAUCAACAAUCUUUUAUGUAAACAAUAUGACCUCUUAAAUGGGCACACAGGGUUGAACAAAGACCGGGGUUUUCAUGAUUCAGUUACUAUCAUAUCAUAAUCAUAUGGUUUGGCUAUCAUAUAUCAACAUCAAUCAUAAACAAUAGAAAGGAAAAAACUCAACACAGUCACGGAACUGAGUAGAACUUGUAGGGAACUUUACAGUUAGAAUGAUCAUAGUGUAAUGGAUUCAAGUUCCAUUCAUAUGCAGUUUUAGUUGUGCUGACUUUCUGACAAGACUCUCUACACGCACCGUUUUGAAAAGGUGGUGGUUUAAGCACUCCAUAUACAUUUCUCUAUUCCUAGUAUCACCUUGUAUCCUACUCCUGGUGCUUCAUGGGAUGUUCCUCGUCUUUUCUUUUUCUUUCUCUCUACAUUUUUACCUACCAAGAUAAGGUCUUAACAUGCAUAUUUUUAGUUCGCUGUAAGACGGAGCAACUAAAAAGGAGCAAAAAAUCAUAUACGACAAGGAGUUCCAGUGGUUUUGAUAUAUUAAGUCACCAUUUCUGAUGGAAGUGGGCAGUGAAUAAUAAUGGGGAAAAUGUGAUGGAAAGAGUAGCAUAUAUUGCUUCUAUAAAGUUUUAGCCAAUUGUAAUUAAGUACAUUUAAUUAAUCAAUCUUAAUCGGAUUGAUUCAAUCCCCUCAUGUGGAUAGCAUAAAAUUGGAACAACUAGAAGGAGAUGAGUGCCCUUGCGCGUUGGCAUGGUAUUAGAGGGUUCAGCCACACUGCACUUUCAUGGUUAUACUCGAAGAUUAUUUUAUGAAAUUGUGUUCAAUAUAUUGAUUUACUAAUUGAAAUGAAUUAUCAUGAAAAUAAUCUAAUCCAAUAAGAAUUUAAAACAUUUUUUAAAUUGAAAUAUAUUGAGAAUUCAUAAUUAAGAAAAUAUGAUGUGAACCUUAAACAAAUUUAAUGUUGCUUUGGUUUUUAAUGCUUUAUUUUCCAAAAAAAUGGAAGCAUAUUAACUCAACCCAGCUGCAUUCAACCCAAUAUUUAAACAGAUUUAGGCAAUCAUUUUUAAGAAUCAAUUUGGGAGAUAAGUUUUUUUAAUCCAACCUCAAUUUGGGCUGAACUCAAAUCUAGGUUUGGACAACCCAAUAUUGAACCAAAUUUAAUAUUUCUAUAAUAUUUAUAAUAUGUAUUAUUUUAUAUAAUAAUAUUAUCUCUUUUUUUUAGAUUUUUUUUUUAAAAAAAUCAAAUGAUAAUUUUUUAUUUUAAAAAAAAAAGAUAUAUAACUUUUUAUUUUGUUGUUAUCUUAAAAUUUUGUCUCAUAAAAAAUUCUAAAAAAUAAUGUAAAUUAAUUUUGAAUUAUACAAUUUAAUCACUGACUAAUUAAUUAAAUAUAUUGAAUUCAAUUUGAGAUUAAAAAAAUAAGGUUGUGUUGUCCUAUAUAUUAAACAUAUAUAUGAGAUGAUAAUUUUAUAAUUAAUUAUUAUACUAUAUUUGGCUUUAGGAAAAUAUUAUGGAAAAAAAUUAAAGAAAAUGGUUUUUUCAUAUAUUUAUUUUAUUAUGAAAAACAUCAAAGAAAAUUAGUUAGAAAUUUAUGAAUUUUUAAAUCAUUUAACAUUUAUAUAGCAUUAAAAUAAAUUAAAUGAAUUUGUAACAAUAUAUAAAAAUAAUUUAUUAAAAUUAAUUUUUUAUGUUUUUUUUUUCUUUCCUUCUUUCUUCACCAUUUUCUUCUCCUCUAUUUGUCCUCAUCCCUGCCUCAACAUGACUCGGGUUGUACCUUUGUCUCAUCAUAUUCAUCCAUGCUAAUUUAAAAUUGAUUUAUCUUUAAAAGAACAUAUUUGAAACUUUUAAAUAUGAAAGUAUGAAAAAUUAUUCUAAAUUUUAUUUGUUAUUUCGUUUAGAUUAUUUAUAUACACUAGAAUAAAAAAUAAAAAAAUUUGAAUUUAUUAUUAAAAAAAAAAAAGAUUUGAUGUUCUUAAUUCUCCAACUUAAAAAUCUAAAAAUUAAUCUUAUCAUUUCAAUAUCUAUAUAUAUAAGAUAUCAAUUGUUUCGUUUAGAUUAUUUAUAUACACUAGAAUAAAAUAAAAAAAAUUGAAUUUAUUAUUUAAAAAAAAAAAAGAUUUGAUGUUCUUAAUUCUCCAACUUAAAAAUCUAAAAAUUAAUCUUAACAUUUCAAUAUCUAUAUAUAUAAGAUAUCAAUUGUAUCAAAUUAUCAAUAGUAUCCAAAGAUGAAAUGAUAUAUCCGAUAUAUCACCCCAAAAUUUUGCAUAUUAGCAACCUCCACACUAUAAGUCGGGGACACAUUUCAGUAGCUCGACAUUUCCACAAGAUCUAAAAUCUAUUCCGUUUCAUGUUCUCUAAGUCAUUUUCCAUGGGAAAUGGCUAGUAUUUCUGUUAGUUCGGGCACCAUCCUCAGAGCCAGCAAUUUAGUUCAGGGGGCAACCUUUGAAACAAAUAUGGGCUUUAGCCCAAUCAUCUAGAGUUAUCAGGCUCGAGUCCCAAUGGGCAAGAAGUGUAGCUUUUUAGUUUCAAUAUUUUAUUGGGGGUGGGGGUGGGGUGUGUGGUGUGGAUGUGCCCCUCUAGGCACUACCUGGCUCCGCCAGUGCCCAGAGCUCUUGGUAAAAGGAAGGGCCAACUAUUUGCCCACAAGACAAGAACAAGCCAUAAUACACAUCCAUGGUGCUAUGGAGAUUUACAAUUAUAACACAUUCAUUUAUAAUAAAGUAUUUCAUAGCAAUCUCUUAAAUCAUAAACUAAUUUACUUCUGAACAUUACAUUAGAGAUCAAAUUUUAUCCAAGAUUAUCAACUUGAAGCUGCUUUGAAUAUGCACAAGCAGCUUCCCUGGGUUUUCUGCCCGAGUUUUUAAUCAAAUUCUGGACGCAAACGAGUAACAUUCAUCUUGCUGUUCAUCACUCAGUCUGCUCAUCUUUGUUCUGUUCAUCAUAAGAAUUCAUAAAAAAGAACAUGUUUGAAUCAGAGGCUAUCUGACUGUAAACUGCAAGAAAGAAAAACAAAGCAACUACAAAGAUUUAUUUAUAACAAAAAAAAAAACUGAAAAAAAACAAGUACUCUAACCUAGGCAACAAGAGUUUAAAAACAUACAAUUUCAAAGUUCAUACAUCAAAGAAAUAAAGGUUUGAAGCUCUGUGCAAGUGAAUGCCACGAUUAGAAGCAUUAAGAGCGGUAGAUAGAACAAAGAAAUAAAAAUAGUGGUACUGAGGAUGAUGUACCUCGAAGAGAUUUUUCAAAGUUCUGUAAUUGUAACAUGAAACCAUAAUUAGGAGCUGCGUGUUGCCGCCUACUCUUCACAUGUUCUAGAGCUUGAGAUAGGCUCAUACCAUGCUUUUUCAUCAUAUAAGCAAUCACAAUGGUCACACUGCAUGAAGUAAAACAAAAAAAUCAGAGUUCAAUUAGUUUACAUUAUCUACACUUCACAUGAAAGCAAAAAUUCUAUAGAAUUAGAAAUGUUAAUGGUGAGGAAUAUUAUAAACCUGAAAAAUGAAAGCACUCUAAUGAUUCGGAGAUGAGAGUCUUUUAGAAGAAAAGGGGAAGAAAAUAGAAUUAGUAAAUAUCAAAUUCCAACCUAGAUGAUAUUCAUCCUUUAAAACAACCCUAGUGAUAGUGAUUACCCCAAAAGUUGCAUCUCAUGCAUAUGUAACAUUUCCCCCCCAGUAUUUUUCUCACAUUUCCACAUUGGAUCACCUCUAUUACCACAAGAUCCAUUUCAAUUCUUUUCCUCGCCAUUCACAUCAGAUAACACCUGUGGCAGGAAACAUAACAAGAACGAACAACAGAAAUAAUAUCAAGAAGCAACUUACUUUAAAAUGUCUACAAGUAAUCUUUUGGUCCCAGAAGUAAAUCUGAUAAUUAUAAGAUCAUUUAUGCUGCAUGGAUAUUUCUAGGUGUGAAUAGAGGAAUCAAGCAGCCUGAUACCCAUAGUCUCAUAAAAGUUUGACAUUAGAAUUGAAUCACCACCUCACUACCAAGCAGAGGCUUAUGCCUCGUGCAUACCUCUCAUAACUUGAGGUAGAGUUUAUGCCUCAAAAUCCUUUUUUUCCAAAAUUUAAGCCUCCUCGCUAUAGCCAGUGCCAUUCCCUUUUUAUCGCUCUACAAACCAAGCAAAGAAUAAUUAAGUUUUAAUACAUGAUCUGUCAUAUCAGACCCUUCAACCUAACAACCACACCCAUGGCUAAUAUGACAUAGUCAAGUAGGCAUGGGUAAGGGCAAGGGCAUGGGGUUUCUGCCUGACACUUUAAAUCCAUCCCAUUUUAUGUAAAUGGAUUCUUGCUAGAUUGAUCCUGCAUCUAGCACACCCAAAAUUGAGAAAUCACCUGAAAUACUAAUGAAGUUUUAUUCAUUGGCAAUAGGUAGUGGAGUUUGCAAAUAGAUAACAUUUUUUUCAUGAAAAUCUAUGGUUAACUGUAAGAUAUGAUGUCCCAACAACCCAGUCAGACAGUUGUUGCUAACUCAUUCGAGUGCUACAACAAAAUGAAGGAGUGCAUACAUUACUAGGUCUUCUAACAUAGUCUUCUGUAGGUUUUUCCACUAUCAUCAAUUUUUCAUUGCUAACUUUUCUUGCAAACAUAAGGAAGCAUCUUCUCUUGAAAAUCGUAAGAUAUGGUGGUCAAACAACUCAAUUGAUUAGUUGUAGCCAACUUCAGGCAAGUGUUAUGACAAACAAGCAGCUAAUUUUGUUAUGGCUUCUCCAACCAUGGUUUUUUAUAGGUUUUUCUAUUAUAAAAUAUUUGGCAUUACUGUUGUGUGGAAAACACUCCUCAUCCCCUUCCUGCAUUUGUUCUUCCAGGUUCCUAAUAAGGGUGAAAACAUAAUUUUAGUUACACUUGAACAGGGUUGUCCAACAUCAGAUCAAGCUUAAACAUGAGCCAAGCUCAACCAGUAAAAGCUCAGGCAUUCUAAUAGUGGGCUCAACUGGGUUAAUUUAUACAACUAAUCAAGCAUUAAAAUUCUUGUCCAGGUCUGGUAACAAAUAAAAAUAUGGCCAAGUGUAUGAUUUCCAUUCGCCACUACAAUUUUGGAAAAUUCAGAGGCCUUUGGUUGACUGAUCUAUCUGAAGUUGACAGUAAGCAGUCUCACAAAUUUUCUACAGUAGACAGAAGAACAUGAUCUGUAUGAGGCAAGUAACUUUGAUACAGCUGGAAAAAUCACCUUCUGGAUCUUCCCAAAAAGCAGUGAACCAAGACACCACCACCCAGUCUUUUCGCUUCAUCAAUGAAAUUGAAACAUUCAUCAAAGUGCUGUGCUAUAUUUGUGUCUGCUUUGUCCGUGACUGCCUCAAUCCACAAAGAAUGUAAUAAAGAUAAUUAAGGAUUUAAGAUCAAAUGCUUAAUAUGGCUUAGAACAAUGAUAUUGAUAAAAAACACAGAUUCAAAACAUUCAGAACAUAUAUUGGUAGGAGAAAGAGAAACAUAAUGUCACACUACAAGGGACACCAAAUAAAAAUUAAAAGUAAUAAAGUGGAAUUGGAACUUCUUCAAGAAAUUAUAACAUUAAUAUAGUGCUUGAAUACACAAAAAAAGGAUGGUUCAUGAUUCUGCAGAUUCAUUUACAUUUCUUGCUAGUAUGCACUGCACUAAAUGAUUAAUUCUUUGUAUUGUAGGCACAUAGAUCCUUCCUGAUUCCAUUAGGUAUUCUAUUGCUAACAUCCAUUGGGAUUUGCAUCAACAACAUGAUAUACUUCACUAAAGCUCACAAUAGUAUGCAAAAUCAUUACAAAUUUGAAACCAUCAUUUCAGCUAAGACAAAACAAUAGCUUAGAUGCAGGAAGCUGAUUGCAGAUUCCUAAAAAGAAUCUGCUUGAAGAACAAUAGAUAGGAGACAAGGAUUACCCCAAAAGACAUGCCAAACAAAAUUCAAAAACCUAACAUAAAUGCAGUUUCAAAGGAAAAAACUAUUCACCCAAGCAAAGAAAGAACUUUGUUACCUUCAAUGACUUUAUAUGUGAAAUCAUUUGGAUGUGCGGGAUCCAACGUAUUAGCCACAGUUAAAAUGUGAGUGAUAUUCAAGCUUUUCAAUUCACUCUUAUUCGAAGCAGCUCCAACAGAACCCAGGAAGAGACCCUAAGAAAUCAAGAAAAAUGAUACAAAACAAAGUCAGUCUCUAGAACCAGCCUAACCACAUAUAACAUAAAUUAAGAAACCAAAACUCAAUUACUUCAUCGAUUUGGCAUGGAACAUUGUCCACUUUAAAGCAUCUUGUUAACAGCAUAACUCGUUGAAUUGCUGCUACCUGCUCCCUAAACCGUUCAUCAAUACGAUCCAUUGGCAAUAAAGAAACCUUUUCUACUUCUAUAUAUACUUUUCCACUUCAAAAUAAGCACAAAACUGCUGAUCACUGCACUUUUCUUGAAUGGUUAAAAUUUCCCCAAUUUGAACAUCAAUAUCAGGUGGCCACAGUUGAGCACAACCGGUCUGUAGAUGCAUCCAAACAUAAUUUGAAAAACAAUAUUAGAAUCGGAGAACAGAGAGGGUCUAAGAUUCCUUCCCUCUUGGGAAAUGUUAAGAGUAUAAUUUCAGUAUUAAAUUACAUGAAUCAACCCACCAAAAUAAGACAAAACCCAUUUGAAGAACCGCCAGUAAUACCAUCAAACUCUCAAAAAUCUAUCGGGAAGAAGAAAAAAAAACUACUGAAAGCAUUGAGCUCUGGGCAUGUUACUUGAACCCAUUAUCCAAAAUGUAAAAUUUUUUUCCUAAAGUUUGCAACUGAUCCAAAUCCAAUUCUUGAUCAAUCUCUAAAAAAGAAAAAAAAAAAAAAGAAAAAGAAAAAAAAAAGGCGGUUUUCAUAGCCAUAAACGAUGAAGAAAGCAACAGCAUGGAAGGAAAGUUACUCCUCAAAUUUCAUGAGAAGGAAGGAUUGGAACUUUUGACGCAGAGGCGACCUUGAAGGCUGCGGAUAGCCGGUAUAGAAUUUGCCUGCGAUCACCGCCGGAUGGCCGGAGAGAUGGGAGAUGAUUUGGGAGAAUCGUUCUUUUUCUUCCAACUAUAUGCGGGGAGACAGAUUAGACUGAACCGUUGGAUUGGUAUCGAGUGGAAAGUCCGAGAAAUAUGAUUUUGUCUCAAUAUUUUGAAUCCAUUCCAUCGUAUUUAUUUAUUAUUUUAUUAAUAAGAGACAAUUGUGUUUUUAACCCAUUUGGGCCAAAAAUUAAGAUUUGACCCAUAAAAUUUAUAUAAUUAAUGAAAAUGAUAUAAAAUAUGAAAAAACUAAUAUACAUUUCAAAACUAUUUUAUAAUUUUUUUUAAUAAUUAUUCUGAAAAUUUAUUAUUUUUAGAAAACUAAUUUUUUUUAAAUAUAUAUUCUAAAAAUAUAUCAUUUAAAAUUUUUUUUUACAUAUUUUUAGUUAUUUUUUAUAUACACAAUUUUAAAAAUAUAUAUUUUUCAAGAUGUUUGAUUUUUAAAUAAUAAUAAUAAUAUUUUAUUUUUAUUUUUUUGGAAAAAUGGUGUAUUUUUUUCCAAAUCACUAAAUUAAAUUAAAAUUUAUUGAGGUUUACAAAAAAAAAAUUUAAAUUAAUAUUUUUCUAUUUUUUUUUUCAUAGUCAAUAAAGGUCAUUUUUGAAAAGAUAAAAAAUCCAUAUCCUUCUUCUCAAUUUUCACACUUCCUCUAAGUCUUAGGCUUAAAUAGUAAACUUAUAUGGACUAAAACUUAAUUUUUAGAACCAACUAGAUUCAAAACACAAUUGUCUCUAUUACUUAUUAAGAUAUGGUUGUUUUUUUCUUUAAAUUUAAAAAGAAAAUUUUUUUUUCUUAAUACCCAAGUUAAUCUGAAGACUGAAUAGUGAUCAGAUUAAUUUCCGAAAUUUUAUAAAAUGAUUUGAAAUUAAUCCACAUUGAACUAGAGUAUUAAUGUGAUAAGUCAACUUCGGAUUGAUCGUAGAUAUGAGGAAAGAGAAUUGGGCCUCUAGCUACACAUUGGGCUGGCCCAGCCAGAGCUCCUUUCAAGUUUCGCCCCAGCAAAGCAUUGGUCCCACAAUGUUCCCUUAUACCCUUUUGACAUUGACAAUAAGAAACACUUCUAGCUUUUUUUAAUAAUUAAAAAAUUUUAUCAUCCAAAUUUAACAAGUUGCCCUCUUCACAACUAGCUAGUAUAAAUUAAUUGAAAUCCACCUUAUCUGAAAUGCCUACAUCCCACCAAGUCUUCCUCUUAUCCCUUAUCUUUGCAUUGGCCGGCACAAAUUUCUUAGUGUGCGAAACAAAUUGGGAUUAAAGAAAUUAAAGAAAGAAACUGCAACAUUUAAAGGGCUCUCUAAUUUUUCUAUUUUCUCAGGAAUGUGUCUGGUGACACCACAUACCAUAUCAUCCUCAUGCCUAUUGCCACUGCUUAAAGCUAAACUAGGACUCGCUCACUAUCCUAGGUCCAAUUGCUAAGUAAUGGAGAAGUAGAUUUUUUUUACUAUUUUAUGCGUUAAAAAAGAGAAGAUAAAAAAACAAAUUAAAAAUCUUGAUAUAUAAGGUAAGAUAGGACAAGAUAAUGUAAUAUUUGAAUGCAUCUCAAAUUUUAAAAAACUCUCAAAUUCACUUGCUCCUUCUUAUAUAAAUAUUAUCCGGUAUGAAUUCAAUAAGUUUUAAUAACUUUAAAUAUAUAUUGUUCAAAAAAUUUCUCAUUCUAAUUGAUGUAAGAUAUUAUAAUCGCAUUUUUUUUUUAUACAAACUAUAUAUCUUCAUUAUGUCUUAUAAGAUUUUAGGACCAAUUAGACACGGCUUACAGGUUACACGAUCUCACAUUAGUCCUUCCCAUUUAAAUAUUAUCUUAUAAAAAUACAUAUUUCCAAUGUGGGGACACACAACUAAAGUCUAAUAUCUCUCUUUCAUAUGGGUAUCAUUCAUCACAUAAACAAACACUCAUUAAUAUGAUAAAUAUUGUCAAUUCUAAAUUCAACUUAUGGUUGCGAUUUUAAAAAAAUCUACUAAUUAAAAAAUUUCACUCUAUACACAGUAUCAGAGACAUCUCCUCCUAAUAAAGGAGAGAUAUCACAAAGUCCCUCCUUGUCCACCAUGGUUAAUUCACUUGCAACUCAAAGUCAUUUAAGAGUUUAAGACAAAUGAGCAAAACCUAGCCGAUAUGAGUCCGGAUAACGACAACAGCUUGCUAACAUUACUAUUGCAAUCUUUAUGAUUGAAGACUGUAAUGCCUGUGGACAUGCCAAGUAAUCGGUGGAUUGCCACCCUGAAUAAGUCCAGGGAAGAGAGAGAGUUAAUACCUCCAUGAGCCAGUUGUCAUUGAUAGAAACUUGGAGAGAAUCACUCAUACGGUCAUACCACAUAACAAAAGGUGAAGAUGAUAUCGACACUCGGAAUUACUGUAUAAGGGUCUAAUGCCCGUUAAAAAAUUCAGUUGAACCACGCACAUCACAUGGCAUAAAAGGUACAAAAUAUGGAUAUGGGUGUGUAAGGUAGGCACUAGAGAAUAAUUAAAUCUAAUCAGCAAAAGGUCAGCAAUCCUAGGGUCUUAUCCACAUUUCAAACUUACGCAACCCGCGGCGUCUCACCGCUACACCCCUUAUAAUAAGGGUCCACUGACUCCACUCGCUGCAGUCCUUUACCAAUUCCAACCCCAUCUCUCUCCCUUUUUCUUCUCCAUGGCUCUGCCUCUCAAACCCCUUUUCUUCUUCUCCUUCGUUUCUCUCGUCUCGGGCUCUUAUUCUCUGCUCCUUCCUGUCACCAAAGAUGCUGCCACACUCCAGUACGUGACCCAGAUUCAUCACGGCACUCCACUUGUUCCCAUCAAGCUUGUGCUCGACCUCGGGGCUCCCUUUUUAUGGCUUGAUUGCAGUUCAGGCCAUGUCUCAUCCUCUAAUACCCCAAUCCUGUGUGGUUCGAUUCAAUGCUUAACUGCAAAGACCAGUGAUUCUGGGCAUGGGGGUGGAACCUCCACAUGUCGUCUCUCCCCGAAAAACACCAUCACAGGACUGGCCGAAGCAGGAGAGCUAGCAGAGGACAUGGUAGCUGUGGAGGGGUCAGAGAUGGGUUCUCGCUUCCUUUUCUCUUGUGCCCCCAAGCCCCUCUUAAAAGGCCUGGCAAGUGGCACCGUCGGAAUGUUGGGCCUCGGGAGGACUAGAAUUGCACUGCCGUCACAGCUCGCCGCAUCGGUCGGCCUCCACCGGAAAUUCGCAGUCUGUCUUUCAUCAUCCGAAGGCACCGUAUUUUUGGAGAACGAAAUUGCCGGAACAGACGUCUCAAAGUCGCUCAUGUACACGCCCCUCCUCCCGGGUCAGGAUCCCAAUUCCGAAGGCUAUUUCAUCAGUGUGAAAUCAAUCAGGAUAAACGGCAGGGGAGUCUCUCUUGGGACAAUCACCGGAGGGACUAGGCUAAGCACAGUGGUUCCUUAUACAACCAUGAAGAGAUCAGUCUACGACAUAUUUACUAAGGCUUACAUCAAGGCUGCUGCUUCCAUGAACAUAACCAGGGUGGAAUCCAUGGCACCUUUCGGGGUCUGCUUCAGGUCCGAAUCCUCCGAGCCCGCUGUGCCCACCAUUGAUCUUGUGCUUCAGAGUGAGAUGGUGAAGUGGAGGAUACUGGGGAGGAAUUCCAUGGUGCGGGUAAGCGAUAAAGUUAUGUGCUUGGGAUUCUUGGAUGGAGGUGUUGACCCAGGUACAGCAAUCGUAAUAGGGGGUCAUCAACUGGAGGACAAUCUUCUAGAGUUUGAUCUCAGUACUUCUAUGCUGGGUUUUAGUUCAUCACUGUCCACUAGGGAAAGUAGCUGUUCUGAACUGAAAUUGAAUUCCAUAUUUAAAGGGUCUCUGUAAAUUUGUAAGUCCAGAGCCUGAUAGAGGGAGAGAAGAAAUUUAAAGAUAGAUUUCUCCAUUUAUUUAUUUUUAAAUGAGACGUUAAAUUGACGCGUCAUUUUCUAUUUGAUGGUGCCAAGGCUUUACGUGGCUGGCCGUGACUUAAAAAUAUGCUUUUAACUCGUUGGCCAAAAAAGGAAUAUGCUUCCACCUUUUUCUGUCGUUUGUGGAGCGUCAUAUUCAUCUAAUACCGACCAUCGGAGCUCCUUCUAUGUGCCUGGGAAAAGACAGAAUCCACCUUACAAAUCUUAUCCAUCUGUGCACACUGAUUUGGAUUUCAUUAGCUAUUGACCUUUCCAGUCUUUUUUUAACCAAAAAUCUAAUAUAUAAAAGUAAGAAUGGUGUUUACACAUUUUUUUUAAAUAUAAAUAAUUAAUUAGGUAAUAAACAUAUAUAAAUUUUUAUAUUUUAUAAAUGAUAAGCCAUCGAUAUCAUUUAAUAAAAUAAUUAAUAAAUAACAUUAGCUAUAAGAGAGUUUUAUAUUUUAUUAAAAGUUUAUAAAUAAAUCCAAAAAAUAUUAGUUAAAAAGAAAUAAAAUAUUUGUGGUUGUUACAUUUGAUUGUCCACAAAAUAUAUAUAUAUUUUAAGAUAUUAUAUUCUAUUUGAUAUAAUGUCACGAUAUUUAAGGUAUUAUAUCAAAUGGAAAAUGUAAGUCAUAUUGAUAUUUAGUUUGUAAAAUGAAUAAAGAAUAAUAAAAUAAAAUAUAUGUUAUUUUUUAAUAUUUGAUAUUAUUUAAAAUAAAAAUUAUAUUGUAUUUCAUUAUUUUUUAUUAAAUAAAAAGAAUUUUUUUUUAAAUUUCUCUUUUUAUAACCAUAAAUGAAAUUUUUAAUCAAAUUUUAUUAUUCUAAAAAAUACAUAUAUAUAUAACAUGUUCCAUUACUUAUCAUAUCUCAUAUUUAAUUCAACAUAUGAUAAGUAAAUAAUGGAUAACUUAUUCUUUCCUAUUACGGACCAAAUAUGAGAUAUGAUAUAUUAUAUUUUUUUCUUAUUCUAUCUUAUAUAAUAUCAUGUAAACCACACAUGAUAUUAAUUUUUAGAUUCAAAUAUUUAAAUUAUCAUUUUAUUUAUGUAUAAUAUAAAAGUGUAUUUUUUUUUUUUUGUUCAUAUAAAAAGACAUCAUCAAUCAAAUGAUACCAUAUCUAUAUCUUAUGUUAUAUUAUUUGCACCAUAGUUUCAUUUAUCCUUGCUUAGUACCUUCAUCACAUAGUAUCCUCGUUCAACAUCCUAAAUCUCGUCAAACAUAUUAAACGGUCCGGAUGUUUUGUUUCCCAAGUACUACUAAGAUAGCUAGGCAUUUUCUUAUGUACAUUUAAUUGUCUCACUUGCAUUCACGUGACCAUUUAUUAUUAACUAUAAAAAGAAUAGUGCAGCCCACCAUCAAAUAAUUCAUGCCUAUUUAAUGUUUAUAUGUCUGUAAUAGUAGGUUAUAAACCACCUCCUCUGAUAAUGAUUUGAAAGUCAAAGUCAAAAACUUCAACGGCUUUACUGAAGGCAGCCCCAGGUCACCAAGUCGCCAUCCUUGACUUAGCAUUAUCCAUAAGCAAUCGAUGAGCCGUAUAAAUACCUGCUGGACUUUCCACUUUUACUCACACUUCCAACUCUUCUUCUUCCUCCAUCAUUCAAUAUGGCUUCCACGUUUCUUCAUCUCCUCCUCUGCUCCAUUCUUCUCUCAGUCUUCUCUCCAUCCCUAGCCCAGACAUCUUUUCGUCCUAAAGCUCUCGUUCUUCCAGUCUCCAAAGAUGCUGCCUCCCUUCAGUACAUCACCCACAUCAACCAGAGAACCCAUCUCGUCUCCAUACCUCUCACCCUCGAUCUUGGCGGCCAGUUUCUAUGGGUGGACUGCGACCAGGGCUAUGUUUCAUCUUCCUACAGGCCGGUCCGUUGCGGGUCGGCCCAAUGCUCCCUUACCAGGUCUAAAGCUUGUGGAGAGUGUUUCUCUGGGCCAGUAAAGGGAUGCAACUACAGCACCUGUGUUCUGUCCCCUGACAAUACCGUAACUGGGACUGCAACAAGCGGUGAGGUGGGCGAAGAUGCUGUAUCCAUCCAAUCCACUGAUGGGUCAAACCCGGGCCGCGUUGUUUCAGUCCGUCGAUUGCUUUUCACUUGUGGAUCGACAUUUCUGUUGGAAGGCCUUGCCAGUAGGGUCAAAGGAAUGGCCGGUCUUGGAAGGAGUCGGGUUGCACUCCCUUCACAAUUCUCAUCUGCCUUCAGCUUUAAUAGGAAAUUCUCGAUUUGCCUGAGUUCUUCCACAAAGUCUACUGGUGUCGUGUUCUUUGGGGAUGGGCCUUAUGUUCUGCUGCCUAAAGUUGAUGCCUCCCAAUCCCUCACCUACACCCCACUGAUUACUAAUCCUGUAAGCACUGCAUCGGCUUAUUUUCAGGGCGAGGCUUCUGUGGAGUACUUCAUUGGAGUAAAGUCCAUUAAGAUAAACGGAAAAGCGGUGCCGUUAAAUGCAACAUUGUUAUCCAUUGACAGCCAAGGCUACGGAGGAACCAAGAUCAGCACAGUCCAUCCUUACACGGUCUUGGAGACUUCAAUCUACAAAGCUGUCACCCAAGCCUUCCUCAAAGAACUUUCAACCAUCACCAGAGUGGCUUCAGUGUCUCCUUUCGGGGCAUGCUUCAGCUCAAAGGACAUCGGUAGCACACGCGUCGGUCCGGCUGUGCCGCCCAUUGACCUCGUGUUGCAGAGACAGAGCGUGUACUGGAGGGUGUUUGGCGCAAACUCGAUGGUUCAGGUGAGUGACAAUGUGUUGUGUCUGGGAUUUGUGGAUGGAGGUGUGAACCCCAGGACUUCAAUCGUGAUAGGGGGGCGUCAACUGGAGGACAAUCUUUUACAGUUUGAUUUGGCCACUUCAAGGCUGGGCUUCAGCUCAUCGCUUCUGUCCCGGCAGACCACCUGUUCUAACUUCAACUUCACAUCUAAUGCUUGAAGGGUUUCAACACCUUUACCAUACAACUACGUACGGAGAAGUGAUGAUCGUAUUAUUCAAAUUAUUGUUUAUGCAUCUUCCUACUUUUCUGGACUAAUAAAUGGCCAUGUUUGCUACUUUCCAAGUAAUAGCCUAAUAAAAUGUGAAGAGUGUUGAUUCUUUGAAGUCUCUUUACUCAAAUGAUGAAAUAGUAUAUAUGCAUUACUAUUCUAAAAAGCACUUCCAACUACUUGGACCAUUUUGGGCAAAAAUAGUCAUCCUUUUCAACUACUUGGGUUCUUGCGAGUGCUCAAGUCAAGUUGCUAAUUUCGUGUCAAAAUUUCCUAUGUUUGUUUUUGUUGUAGUAUGUGGCUCAUAUUUGAGCGAAAAGACAUACGAAGAAAAAUGGGCAAAAUGCCAAAGCGAAGCGGAGCGAUGACAUUUGUCAUUUAGGCUUGUACUUCUUUUGUUGUCGGGUGAACAAUAGGUUGCGGGGGUACGAGGGGCAACCCCCUCGGGUACGGUUCAAUAAUAUUUUUGAAAUUUCAUUUCUAAUGAUUAAUAUAAAUACCCUUUUUAUGUAUCCCUAAUUUUAACAUAGUGAAAAUCCUCUUUUCCUGUUCCCAUGGACGUAGGCAAUUAGGUGAACCACGUUAAAUCUCUAUGUUCUUCUUUCUCGUUUUUCUAUUUUUUUUUGUCAUUAAUCGUUGCAUGGAUUCCAAUAAUUUUCAAUUCAAGUCUUUCGAAUUCUCCCCUCUUAGACUAGAUGUUUAAAGUACUUAGAAGGCAAAUAUAAGUGAUUGAGGUCUUUUCAAUUUAAUGAGUAUUUUAAUUAUUUGUUUAUAUUUUUUUCCCUUUUUUUUUUGGUGCAUAAGAAGCAUUGAGAGUUUUUAGUGGGGUUUUUUUUACUAAGUUUUUUUAGUCUAUUUAAUGAUUGAUCCAACCUUAAGUAUGAUAGAUCCAUCUUUAAAAUUGUAUGAAAUUUCGAGUGUUGGAUUGAGUGCUCUUCUUAUUACUUAAACCCAAAUUAUCAUUUUAGGGUUUAGAAAAACUUGAUAGUUGUCAUACCUCGUCCCAUUGUGCUCCUUGGUCAUUCCAAUUUGGAAGUGUUUGUUGCCUUGGAGAAUCUAUCAUGUUUUAAGCUAUAUAUGAAACUAUUUUUAUUAAAUUUUGUCACAAAAUGUGAAUUGAUUCAUUUGGUUCUUCUAUCCAAUCUCUCAUUGUCGUUAUUAAAUUGGGGUAAGACAUUAUUUAUUUAUUUUAUUGAACUUCAAGAAAUGAUUGAAAUUGAGUUUGAUGUUGACUUCAAGUGUGAUUUAGAAGAAGGUAUGUAAUUGAAGUUAGAAUGUGUUAGUCAAGUAGUCUAAGAGUGGAUUGGUGGACAUUUUUUAUUGCUUGCAAGCUCAUAAUGCCUUUUUUUUGGUUUUUUAUUUUUUUUUGUCUCUUCGGAGAUUUUCUAUGUUAAAUCUUUGAGUUAGUGAAUGAGCUAGAAUUUGUAUUAGUGUUUAUGAAAUUUACAAUGUUUUAAUGAGUUGUUGGUUGAGGGAAUGAGCUGAAAUUUAAUCAUUUAAGCCUUGGAAAUUUUAAUAUAAUUUUUUCCAUUGUGGAGUUAAUUAGUGGAUAUUUGGACAUGUGAUUUGAGAUGUCGAAAGCUUAUGCAAAUCUUGAUUGUGGAGCAUUAUUUCAUUUGCAUAUGAAUUUCAUUGAUUAAAUUAUUAUUCAAAAGAUUGAAAAAGAAAAAUAAGAAAAAUUUUAGGGAGUGAUAACCUUUCUUUGCAAACCAUCUCAAAUUUAUAAAAACAAUAGAGAUAGAACUUUUAAAAGCAUGAUAUGGUGUAAUAAAAUAAAAUAAAAUUUUAUUAAUAUAUUAAUAUAUUCUGAUUUCACUUUCCACAAUUCUAUCUAUGUUUGCAUUAAUAUUUACGUAAAUAUUCAGUUCAUCAUCAUUUGCAUUAUACAUGACUUUUCCUUCCUUCCUUACUCAUUAGUACUUUUACCAGUGUUGUAUUGUCUUGUCCCUCCUACUCCAUGGUGUACUUGUGCAAGACAUAAAAAUACAUUUUUCCCCUGUGUUGUACCCCUUCCAAACCGAUGAUGCAGGAUUGCAAGCAUAAGACUGUUUGGUUUCGAAAAAUCUAAAGGAAAAUACAAAAGAAAGAAAAUGGAGAGGAAAAACAAAAUAAAAGAAAAAAAAUGAAAAAAAACAUAGAUGUAAAAUCAAUAAAUUAUUUUUGUAUAUUACUUCAAACUCAUUUAACUUAAUUUAAUUUAUUUAAGUUUCUAAUUAAUUUUAAUUAUAUUUGAUUUUUUUUCAUAUCUUUCAUAAUAAAACCAAAUAUAAGAAAAUCAUUUUUUUCAUUUUGUAACAUUUUUUUUAUUUGUUAGUACUUUUUGAGAACUAAACAUAACCUAAAAUGUUUCUCAACAAAUUCAUGUUGUUCGACCAAUUUCUUGUAACAUGUUCAUGUUGAUCAAAAAAAAAAAAAAAUACUCAACUUUGAUGAUGUUCAUGUUGAUCAAAAUUGAAACAAAUACUCAACUUUGAUCAUCAAAAAGUGAUUUUAUUCACGUAAUUUAUCAUGAAAACUAAUCAUAAGACUAAACGUUCUACAAAAGGAGCACAUAAAAGUUACAAAAAGACAAUUUUAAAAUACAUUGUUUAAGGCUUUUUGAAAGCAAAUCUUCAAUCAUCUUUAUAAAGCCUUAUUUUGAUUAAAACAAACAAUAUCAGGGGAUCAAUAUGAUUAUCCCUAACAAAUAGUCAUCCUCCAAGUGUUGGAUCAAAAGGCUUGAAUAAAUUUUAUUGUGCUUUGCAGGGGAUUUUGAGGGUCAUGCUCCGCGUUGAGCUCAUGAGGAUCUAGGAUACCCUAUUGUAUUUUAGCCCUCUUAUGUAUCUUAAUAGAAAGUUUUCUUAUUAUAUUUUAACUCUCUUAUGGUUUAAGGUUUUGUUUUAGGGACAAAUUAAAAUGUUUGGUCACAAUAGAAAGAAGAGCGAGAGUCUUUAUCCUUGUAAUUUUCUUAUUCAUUUGAUUAAUAAAUUCUUGAGUGUUGGUGUACUUCGUGAACAUAAGGAUCAUAUUAAUUACCAAACCAUUUUAAAAAAAAUUUGUCUUUUAUUUAUUUUUGUUGGUGUGUGGUUUGCUUAACACCAAGUUGGCUUAUAUUAAUUGGUGAUUAAAUUAAUCAUGAUUUUCAUUUAGUUAAAUCUGCAAUAAGGAAAAUCCCAUGAUGAUAGCCCUAUCACCACCCACGAAUAUUUCUACUUUAACAUACAUAGGUUUACAAGGGAAAAAGAAAAAUAAGAAGAAAGGGAAUCACAACAUUAGUCAUUAAUUUCUCUAUCACUUCAACUUGCUCAACUGUCUAAUGAUUACAUAUCUUGCUCACCAAGAUAUUUUUAUCCUAUAUUCCAAUUCAAAUUAUCAGAUAAGAUAGCCUACGUCUACGCAUAUAUACCUCCAUCCCUACUGAUAACUUGCGUGUGGAUAUAUAAAUAAAAAAAUAUGUAUAGAAAUAUAAAACAUAUAGCUUUGCAAAAAAUCCGUAGAGGCUUUCAACAAUUCUCCAUUCAUUUCUUGUCAUUCCCAGUACUGCUGCCUGAUUUUGAAUGCUCCCUGAAGAAGCUAACAUUCUUGUAGGAAAAUAUUGGACAGUUCAUUCCACCAUUUUUUGAGUAUAGAGAUGCAUCUACAUUUUUUGUAGUUUUCUUUUAUAGGCCAAGAGAGAGUCCCUUAAGGAGGAGAAAACUCCCUUUUAUAACCACUUUUCCUUGUGAAUGAGCAUAAGUAAGUGAUUUUCGUAGUAGGUCAACAAACUUUUUGCAAGGAUAAGGAUAGUUGGACUCGUCUUUUUAUACACAAGUUAGUCGUCUUUUUUUAUGGUUCUGGGUUUGGGAUGAGAUGAUUUUAUGCGUUUUCAGGUACUUUGUUUGGGAGGUGGUAUAUUAAAGAUAUGCUGAUUUUUGAGCACCUCUACUCCCAAUCUCUCACAUUCACCCCACUCCCUAUAUGUACAUUAAUUAGGAAAUAUAGCACAAAAUACGAAGAAUAUGAAAAGGGAACAAAUAAAUUUAUGAACAGUGACCCACAAGAUGGUGAAAAAUAGAGGUAGCCUAGGUAGAAAGGUUGCCAAAAUGUUGAACCGUUGGAAAAAAGAAAAUACAAAUAUGGUACUUACCUCUAAAAUGGAACACCUAAGAAGCAUGAGUCACUUUUCCCCCCUUUGGGUGUAACACAAGCAUUGUGUGUUGAAUUACUUGAAUUGUAACCGCACCUCAAUUACCUCUUCAGCUUCAAUUCCUCAGAGCCCAAACUGUGUGACCAACAAACUAAUCCCCCCACGUCCAUACCUGCAUUUCUUGAUCAAUUUCCCUCCCAUGGCAUGCAAGAAACAAUCCAGCUUUUCUAUAUAUCAUAAAUUCACUACACAUCUUUAUAAAGACACCUGCCAGACCACUAAAGUUCUGAGAAUUUGAUCAUGAAAAGUCUGUUUGAAAAGCAACUAUCUCCCGGUACUUCCAACAAUUCAUCAAGUAGUGGGCAAUCUAGAGAUGAUCAAGAGCUGGGCUCUCAUGCAGUACCCAAGAAUGGAGAUCAUGUUCGCAAGAAAAACUCAUGGUUUUGCUGUUCUCCACCUGAUCACAUGGAUCUGAACCCUGCUCGAAUGGUAAGUUAGGAGGUUAAAACAUUCCAAGAAGCUAGUCUCUCAUGAAACUCACUAUGUGAUACAUUUUCAUUGGGUCUUAGCCAUUUGAGUUUAACAAAUAUGCAGAUUUUAGCAGAGAUGGUGGGGACUUUCAUUCUGGUUUUCUGUGUAUAUGGGAUUGAAGCAGUUACCCAGCUAAUGAAAGGCGAAGUGGGUCUCUUGGAGUAUGCAGUCACUGGAGGGUUGACAGUAGUAGUGUUGGUUUUCUCCAUUGGGUCCAUCUCCGGAGCACAUGUAAACCCUUCUGUCACCAUAACCUUUGCUACCCUUUGCCAAUUCCCAUGGUCCAAGGUAGUAGUAGUAGUCAACAACUUCACCUCCUAAUCAAUUUGAAUGUUUAUUGAGAUCCAAUGUUGAAGUUGUUCCUAAUUACUUGUCCCAAAGGUUCCAUACUACAUAUCGGCACAAAUAGUAGGUUCGGUGCUGGCAACGUACGUGGGAAGGUCUAUCUAUGGCAUAAAACCAGAACUUAUCACUACCAAGCCGCUGCAAGGCUGCAGUUCUGCCUUCUGGGUCGAGUUCAUCGCCACAUUCAUCAUCAUGUUCCUAGCUGUAUCUUUGACAAGCCAACCUCAAUCUGUAAGAAAAGAAUAAAAGAAUAAAUAAAUAAAAAACAAGAAGCCAUUUUUGGGUAAUCUUUAUGCUUCAUUUGAUUAUUGAGAAACUGCAGGUAAGCCACUUGUCUGGUUUCGUCGUUGGAAUAGCCAUUGGACUUGCAGUGCUAAUCACAGGGUAUACAUAUAUAUACAAACUCAAUAUUACUGUACUAUGUCUCUACCAUUUUAAUCACAGUUUGUGUUGGUUUCUUUGGUAUUUCCAUUACAGGCCUGUUUCAGGAGGAUCAAUGAAUCCAGCAAGGUCCUUGGGACCUGCAAUUGUUUCGUGGAAAUUUGACGACAUAUGGAUUUAUACAAUCGCCCCAACUCUUGGAGCUGUGGCAGGAGGUCACCUGUUUCAUCUGUUACGUCUCCGGCACCAGCCUUGCACCCCCAAUUCCUCUCCCAACACCAUUCUACUAAGCAACGCCUUCCAGUAGGCUUUGGUGGAACUGAGUGUAGAAGAAGGUAGCAGGAAGAGGAUGCUGCUGCUGCAUUUUUCUAUUAAUUUAUCUGGUGUUUGAGAAUAUUUAGUGUAAAUUUAAUAUGGCUUUUUGCCUCGACUUAUCUAUACUGCUUAUUUUACUAUUUUUGAUAAAAAAAAAAAUUAAAAAUGGAACUUCAACUUUCCUAUGUUGUACACUCAAUUACUUAAUUUAUGAUUUAAGUGUUAGAUCAUCCAUUCAAACUUAUUUUUUACAUGUUGGAUUUGAAUGAAUAAAAACUUAUUUUUUACAUGUUGGAUUUGAAUGAAUAAAAAAAGCGGAAAAUAGAAAUAAAUGUCAUAUUUGAUAACUGUUUUCAAAAAUAUAUUUUUGUUCUCCUAGAUAUAAAAAUAAAAAAAUAUGUUUGAUAAUUAGAAAAUAAAAAACAAAGCAUUUUUAAAUAAUAUCUUUUAAUUAUUUUUUAAUUCUUAUUUUAAAAAUAUAGAAAAUGUGUUAAAAAUAUUUUAGAUUCUUAAACAAAUUUUUGUUCUAAAAACAACUUUUAAAAAUACUUCCUAAAUAGAGCCAAAUUCUCAUUUUAUCUUAAUAUUUAAUAGGGAUUAUAAAUCAUGCAAUAAUCUCAUUCCCUUAAAAAUGACGAUUUAAGAAACAAUUUCAAAAUGGAUAUAUUAUGAAUUAAUUAAUUACCGUCAUAAGUUUCAAGAUGAUUAAGCCACAAGAUUAAGUAUUAAUCAUAUAAAAAAGUUUAAAUGGACAUCAAUAAAAACUAAUUAAUUGUUAGAUGGAUGGCUAUAGCUUUCGGGUUGAGAGACAAAUCCUAGGUUUAACUCAUUGGAGCACGUCUGUUGGGGAAGGAAUUGUUAAACAUAUAUAUGACACAUGCUCCAUGACAACUCGAGAAAUAGCUUAAUUUAAGUUAAUAAUUUCGUUCCAUUCUUCUUAACUUAGACGACUUUCUAUAUUAUUAUAUCUUACUCUCUAUUGAAGAUUUAAGUUUAUUGUGUAAUUAAUUGGAAUGAUACAAGUAAAUAUAGAGAACUUCGAGAAAGUCUAAUUGGGAUCAAUUAUGGCAUGAAUUGGAUGUUAAAUUUUUAAUUAAGCUAAAACUCUCUUAAAAUUGGUUUUAAAACUUUGUGUGAGUGCACAAGUGAUGCUCCUAGCACUCAAAGCACUUCUUGGCUCGAAGCUCAAGCACUCCUUAAGGUGUUUGAAUUCUUUUUGUAUUUUUAAAUUAUUUGUUUUAGGAAAAUUCUAGAUUUCGCCUACAAGGCAUUUGGUCCUCUAAAUACUAUACUAUAAAAGUUUUUGCUCUUUGAUGCAAACUUUGGAAAAAAAAAAUGGAUUUUUAGUCUUCAUGUAUCCCAAAAUUCUCAAAAGUUGUGUUUUUUCUCGUGCCUUAGGCUUAAGAGAAAGAUCUGCAUCCCUCAUGUGUUGAGUUGUUGACAUGAAAACUAGUGUAAAUUUGGGAGUAAGUUUUAGGGAUAACAUGCAUACUUUUCUUUUAAUGGUAGCUUUGUGUGUUGAGAUAUUAUGAUAUAUUCUAGGAAAGUAGUUGCUAUUGUUUAGAAUUGUUUCCUAAAUGUUGAGAUAUUAUGAUAUAUUCUAGGAGCUAUUGUUUAGGAUUGUUUCCUAAACUCACGGCAUUGUUUAGGAAUGUUUCCUAAACUCACGGUUUUCCCUUAAUUAGGUUUGCUUGAUGUACUAUAUAUUUACAUGGAUGAAUAUCAAUUAGGGUUAAGCUUUGACCCUUUAAUCACACUUUACAUGGUAUCAGAGCACUGACAUGCACACACAAUAAAACAAUGGCCGGCGAUGAUGAACAACCACCAUUGCCGCCACCUAAAAGGGAGAUGAAUUCACCUUUUUUUCUCGGCACAGGAGACGGACCAGGCGACUUCAUCACUCCCACUCACUUACGCGGCGACAAUUACGAUGAUUGGGCUUCCGAUAUUCAGUUGGCAUUGGAGGCACGUCGCAAGUUCGAAUUUUUGGAAGGCACUAUCACCGGACCACAACCUCCAUAUACCCAAUCUGAUUGGAACACCGUCAAUGCAAUGUUGGUUUCUUGGAUUACAAACACAAUCGAUCCCGAGGUAAAGAGUACCCUAUCUAAAUUUCGUGAUGCAAAACGCUUAUGGGAGCAUCUUAAGCAACGAUAUGCUAUGGUUAAUGGCCCAAGAAUUCAACAGUUAAAGACUUCAAUUGCUAAGUGUGAGCAAUCGAAAUCUAUGUCUGUUACAACUUACUAUGGCAAAUUGAAUGUAUUAUGGGGGGAAUUAUUUAAGCAUGAACCGUUAAUUUCUUGCACUUGUUGUUCGUCUUGUACUGCCGCAUCAUUGCACCAAGCAAGACGUGAACAAGGAAAAUUACAUGACUUCUUGAUGGGACUCAACAUUGAUCUGUACGCUUAAUUACGAACCAAUAUCAUUUCUCAAGAUCCCUUGCCUUCGCUUGAUCGAGCGUACCAACUGGUGAUACAAGAUGAGCGUGUGCGGCUCGCCAAGGCAGUCACAGAAGACAAGCCAACAAAGGUCCUUGGCUUUGCUGUCCGUACAGGUGCUGGAAGAGGACGAGGAAAAACGGAGAGGCCUGUGUGUAGCCACUGUAAGAAGACGGGGCAUGAGACUUCAACUUGCUGGUCCCUCGUUGCUUGUCCUCACUGUCACAAGCAUGGCCAUGACAAAAAUAAUUGUUAUGAAAUAGUGGGUUAUCAUGAGGGGUGGUUGGAUCAAAACAAGGUUGAUGGGGGUGUUGGACGUAGUCGUCAGCAGGCUGGUCGUGGGCGUGGUUCAGCUCGUGCUAAAGCGGCAAGUAGCACAAUUGGAGCAUCCUCUACUAAAAGUUCUACCGAUCAACUCUUCACACCCGAACAAUGGAAAGCUCUUGCGGGCUUAAUUGGUAAUGCUCAAGUUCCGGAUGACAGGUUGAAUGGUAAGUUUGACACGAAGUCAUGGAUCAUUGACACCGAGGCAACUCAUCACGUGACCAGUGAUUUAUCUUGGUUAUUUGAUACUAUAACGUUGUUUGAGUGUCCGGUUGGCCUUCCUAAUGGUGAAUCUGUUGUUGCGACCCAAUCCGGUUCCGUUCGUUUGUCGAAUAACAUCACCCUUAAAAACGUUCUUUAUGUGCCGAAACUCAAUUGCAAUUUACUUUCGGUUUCACAAUUGACUGAUGACUUACAUUGUAUUGUCCAAUUUAACUCUUAUAUGUGUGCUAUACAGGACCACACCAGGGAGCUGAUUGGAACGGGAGUUAGGCGAGAUGGACUUUACUACUUCGGUAGAGCUGAAGGUGAUUCGGUACAACAUGUUUCUGUCCACAACGCAGCCUCCACUUUGGAGUUGUGGCACAAAAGGAUGGGACAUCCUUCAGAGAAAGUAGUGAAGUUACUUCCUCCAGUUAGCAAUCUUAAGGGUAGUUUAAACAAAGCUUGUGAAAUAUGUUUUCGUGCUAAGCAUCCUAGAGACAAAUUUCCUUUAAGUGACAAUAAGGCAACUAGAAUUUUUGAGAAAAUACAUUGUGAUUUGUGGGGCUCUUAUAAACAUGUCUCUUCUUGUGGAGCUCGUUAUUUUUUAACUAUUGUUGAUGAUUUCUCAAGAGCUGUGUGGAUUUAUUUGUUGGUCGAUAAAACAGAAGUUUUUCGGAUGUUUAUGUCUUUUAUUGUAAUGGUAGAUCGACAAUUUUCUCAAACAGUGAAAGUUGUUCAAAGUGAUAAUGGUACGGAAUUUAAAUGCCUACUUGACUAUUUUUCUGCAACUGGCAUUUUAUUCCAAACUUCUUGUGUGGGAACUCCGCAACAAAAUGGGAGGGUUGAGAGAAAACACAAGCAUAUUUUAAAUGUGGGGAGGGCAUUAUGCUUUCAAGCAAAUUUGCCUAUUUAUUUUUGGGGCGAAAGUGUUCUUGCCGCUGCUCAUUUAAUAAACCGCACUCCCUCUCCUUUGUUACACAAUAAAACACCAUUUGAAAUCCUAUUUGGCACCCCUCCUUCAUAUGCGGCAAUUCACACCUUUGGUUGUCUUAGUUUUGCUCAUGAUCAAAAAUCCAAAGGUGACAAAUUUGCAAGUAGAAGUAGAAAAUGUGUGUUUUUGGGUUACCCGUUUGGAAAGAAGGGGUGGAAGUUGUUUGAUUUGGACACCAAGGAAUUAUUUGUUUCUCGUGAUGUCAAGUUUUUUUAGGAUGUUUUUCCGUUUGGUAACCCGGGUGCUGUGAAUAUUAUUCCGGACAACAUUGUGCCUACGGUAAAUGUUGAAAUUGAUAGUGAUUUUGCUGAUUUUGUCGAUGAUGAUGCUGAUUUACCUAACCCACAAGCCCAAACACAAAAUCCCAACCUCAUCCAACCUGAACCCCAAGCCCACCAAGAUCUUUCACCUGGGCCGAAAGUUAUUCCCACUGUUGGGCUUGAUUCACUUGGGCUUGACAAUACAAGCAAUGGGCAGUCUGCUCCUAUGGGAAAGGGAAUGAGGGAUAAAUUUCCUUCGGUUCUAUUACGAGAUUUUGUUACUCAUACGGUGGUUACUGAAAGUCCAUCUCCCGCCACUCCGUCUCCACAGCAUCCCUCAGGUACUCCUUAUCCCAUAGCACAUUAUAUAAAUUGUGACAAUUUUUCUGUACAUUAUCGAAAGUUUCUUGUAGCUAUUAUUUCGAGCAAUGAUUCUAAGUCAUUUAAAGAGGCUAUGAAAUAUGUCGGUUGGCAAAAGUCAAUGCAUGAGGAGAUUCGGGCUUUGGAGGAAAAUGGUACGUGGACUCUUGAACCUCUUCCAAAGGGUAAGCGUGCUUUGGGAAGUCAGUCGGUUUACAGAACCAAGUACUUCUCAAACGGUGAUAUUGAAAGGCUCAAAUCCAGAUUAGUAGUUUUGGGGAAUCAUCAAGAAGCCGGUAUUGAUUAUCAUGAGACUUUUUCUCCAGUUGCCAAAAUGACUACGGUGCGUGCUUUCUUGGCUAUUGCGGCUUCGAAAAAUUGGGAACUUCAUCAGAUGGAUGUUCACAAUGCCUUUUUGCAUGGAGAUCUUGAGGAAGAAGUGUAUAUGAAGCUACUCCCAGGUUUUGAGAGUUCCGAUCCGAACUUGGUUUGUAGGUUACGGAAAUCACUUUAUGGGUUGAAACAGGCUCCGAGAUGUUGGUUUGCCAAGUUGGUCACGGCUCUUAAAGGAUAUGGUUUCUUAUAAUCCUACUCUGAUUAUUCUCUUUUUACUUACACUAAGGGCAAUGUUCAAAUAAAUGUGCUAGUGUAUGUCGACGAUCUUAUUAUCUCUGGGAAUGAUUCCGCUGCACUUAAGACCUUUAAAGCCUAUCUCAGUGAUUGUUUUAAGAUGAAAGAUCUUGGUGUUUUGAAGUAUUUCCUCGGAAUCGAGGUGGCCAGGAGUUCGGCUGGUUUGUUCUUGUGUCAACGCAAGUACAAACUUGACAUUAUAUCGGAGGCCGAAUUACUGGGAGCUAAGCCGUGUGGCUUCCCGAUCGAGCAAAAUCACAGAUUAGGACUCGCAAAUGGGGAGCUCUUAUCGAACCCUGAGUCCUAUCGCAGAUUAGUAGGUCGACUCAUUUAUCUGGCAGUGACCCGUCCAGAUUUGGCCUACUCGGUUCAUAUAUUAUCUCAAUUUAUGCAGGAGCCUAGAAUUGAGCAUUGGGAGGCGGCUUUGAGAGUCGUUCGUUAUUUGAAAGGUACUCCGGGUCAGGGUAUCUUGUUACGUGCAGAUAGUGAUCUGUCCCUGUAGGGUUGGUGUGAUUCUGAUUGGGCAGCAUGUCCAGUCACUAGAUGCUCUUUGUCCGGAUGGCUUGUGUUUCUUGGGCAAUCUCCUAUUUCUUGGAAGACAAAGAAGCAACACACAGUUUCCCGCUUGUCUGCAGAAGCAGAAUACCGAGCUAUGGCAGCAGUUACUUGUGAGCUCAAAUAGUUGAAGGGUUGCUUCUGAGCUUGGGUGUGCACCACCCAAAGGCAAUCAAGCUCUUUUGUGAUAGUCAGUCAGCCCUUCAUAUGGCCAAAAAUCCAGUAUUUCAUGAACGCACCAAACACAUUGAGGUUGAUUGUCACUUUGUUCGGGAUGCGAUAACAGAUGGUUUGAUUGCUCCGUCAUAUGUUCCUACUGUUACACAAUUGGCGGAUAUUUUUACAAAGGCUCUUGGAAAGAAACAAUUUGAUUAUCUUCUUGCCAAGUUGGGCAUUUUUGAACCUCAUGCUCCAACUUGAGGGAGGGUGUUGAGAUAUUAUGAUAUAUUCUAGGAAAGUAGUUGCUAUUGUUUAGGAUUGUUUCCUAAAUGUUGAAAUAUUAUGAUAUAUUCUAGGAGCUAUUGUUUAGGAUUGUUUCCUAAACUCACGGCAUUGUUUAGGAAUGUUUCCUAAACUCACGGUUUUCCCUUAAUUAGGUUUGCUUGAUGUACUAUAUAUUUACAUGGAUGAAUAUCAAUUAGGGUUAAGCUUUGACCCUUUAAUCACACUUUACAUUGUGUAAUAUGGUCUUUGGUGAUCUUAUAGUUUUUACAUCCAUAUAGUCUUUGGAAGACUUCGUAAAUGGUUUUCCACAUAAAAAUCAUUUUGUCUCGUGCGAUUUAUUUCUCUACCUUCUCUCUAUUUAUUAAAGAUGAAUUAAAAAUAAAAAUUUGGAUUAAAAGAAGUUAAUACCUAUUCACCCCUCCACGUGUUCAAUAAAUAAAAUCUACAAACUUCAUUGAGGAUAGGUAUAUUGUAGGAUAGGUAGGCCUAAGAAUUGCUAGGCACAUAACAAUCACUCAUCAAAAAAUAACGACUCAAUAAAUGGUUAAGAAUGAAUGUGCAUAAGUUUCCACUAUAAGAUCUCGUAUGAGUAUGAUGUUAAACUUAAUAAAAAGGCUUAGAAUGACUUAAAAAUGGAUAUAUUAUGCAAUAAUUAUGUUCCAUUUAACCUAAUAGAAAAUGGUUAAGUUUAUAUUUAUUUUUUCUAUUUUUAAAAUAAUUUAUCAUCCAUCGCCAUGAAAAUUUCAUUCCCCCACCAAAUGUGCGAAGUAGGAAUAAGGGUCUCCAAUGGGCCAGGCCGGGCGGUCCGGCCCGAAGGAGUAAAGCCCAUGGCCCAGCCCAGGGGGGCCACUGAGCCCGUUGACUGGUCAACGGGCCGGGCCGGACCCUUGAUAUAUCUAAGGCCCGUGGGCCCUCAAGCUGGAUGGGCUUGGCGGGCCAGGGUAAAAAUUAAAAUAAUUUUUAAUUUUGGAGGGAAGGGGUUCGAAUCCCCUUCCCUUAUAGAACCAUAAGGGAGCUAGCCACCAACUGAGUUGGCCCUCUUUUGUGUAACUAUUUUGCAUUAAUUAUAUAUAUAUUAGAAAUGUUGUAUGAUUUUUGAAAAAAAAUAAAAGUGAGUUGGUUGUUCAACGGUUACAUAACCAUUGAACAUGUCACUCAUAAUUCAAUUUCAAAUAUAUGACCGUUGAACGAUCUUGAAAUUUUUUUUUUAAAAAAAAAUUAAAUCCUAAUAUUUAAAUCCCUAUAAAUAUUAAAUACCCUCAAUUUUUUUCUAUUCUCUCAACUCUUAAGCUCUCUCCCAUUCCACAAUAUUUCCGAUUAUUGCAUUUUGUCUCAAAUUAUUCAAUAUUAUUGGUGGUGAAAAAUAAGCAUUGGUGGUUCAAAGAGUUCAAAUUUGAAGGAAUUUCUGCUUCGGUUCUCUAAUUUAGUAACAUACUUCACCUUUUCUUUUAUUUAUUUGUUACAUUUUAAUUUUACAUUUAUUAUUUUUAACAUAAUAUUUUAUCAAUAAUUAUAAUUAUGGCAAGUGGUUCUUGUUCUUCAUCUAAUGCAUGUGAUAGCAAAAAAUUUACUUCAAAUAUAUGAAUUUUUUUUUAUAGAAUAGAAAUAAAUUUAGAAAAUAAUAAAAAAGAAAUAAAAGCAAAAUGUAAAAUUUGUAACAAACUUCUUAGUGGUGGCUCAAAUGCAGGUACAAGUCAUUUAAAAAUGCAUCAUGAAAAUUGUAAAACUAAAAAUAAUGUAGAUAUUAGAAAUUAUAUGCAAUUAGGUAAAGAUGAAAGUGGAAAUUUAAAAACAUUUUCUUAUGAUGAAUCUUAUUGUCGUGAAGAAAUGAUUGGUUAUAUAAUAAGAGCAGAACAACCUUUCAAUUUUA